rnacentral:lncRNA from 1 species
AUUUUAUUUAUUUUAUUUAAAAAUAUUUAAAUUUUUUUAAAAAUAAAAAUAUUAAUAUUAAUUUUUUAAAAAAUAAUAUAUCAGUAAAAAAAUUAAAAAUUAAAAAUAUAUUUAUAAAAAUAUUAAAAAUUUAAAUUAUUUUAAAAUUUUAAAUAUUUUUGACCAAAAUACUCUCCCAACAGUCAAAUUUUUGACUGUUGAGAAGGGCAAUUUAGUCCAAGCCCAACUCUCAAAGCCACGGCCCAACUCUUUGACUCUUGGGAGUCCCAAAGCAACAGCCCAACCUCCGCCCGGCUCGAGAGGGCGUGGCCACACGGACCGGGCCGUGCCGUGCCGGGCCGGGCUUGGAUACCCUUUAGGCCCCAGGCCUAUGUCGUGCCCGGCCAUCAGGCCGUAGAAGCAAGGCCCAGCAUGGCCCGAUUUAACUGGUCGGGCCGGGCCGACACGGCACGCUACAGUACUCAUGCCGUGCGUGGCCCGACCCACUGUCGUGCCGGGCCGGGCGAGCCGUGGGCCGCCCGGCCCGUUUUACAUCCCUAGGUGUAUCUGAAGUUUUUUGUAUAUGAUUUAACAAAAUAUUAACGGAAAAGCUAAUGAAAAAAAAAAUAAAACCACAGGAUAGUAACUUGAUACACUUUAAAUCAGAUGGCACUAAAGUGAGAACGUGCAAAACCACAGGAAUGGCAUUUGAAGUUUGUCCUAAAAAUUAAUUAAAGAAUUAGAAACAAGAAAUUGACCUGAUUAACAGCAGGGGGAAUUUGUGCAGAGGAGAGCAAUGCUUGGAGCUUCUUGGAAGAGAAAUUGCUCACUCCAAUGGCUUUUGUUAAGCCCAAUCUCAAGCACUCCUCCAUUGCCUCCCACACGGAUUUCAUGUCGAAGGGCUCGAUCUCAUCCUUGGGAAAUGGGAACUCAUACUUUCCCGGCUUAACCGUCAUGGGCCAGUGAAUGAGGUAGAGAUCAAUGUACUCCAUUUGAAGGUUCCUGUAAAUAAUAAUAAUAAUAAUAAUAAUAAUAAGAUAAAAAUAUAUAAAAUUUAUCUGAGCUUGAAGUCACCGUCUAAAAUGUUAUAGUCGGAUUAAAAGGUACAGUCUUAUUGUAUUUUACAUAGAUGAGUAUUCCAAAUUUUAGAAAUGUCACAUUAAUUUCUUCCACCUUUAAACUAUGACAUUUUCGUUAGACUCAAGCACACUCUCAGGUACCGUACAAUAUGAGACUCGACUCUCUAGUCCUUAUCUGCUGUAUGAUCCUAUCUCAGCGGAGACUGAUAUCACUUUUUCAGGCUGGUGAUUGAUUCUGAUGCCAUACGCUCUACUUCCCAAUGAGUCACACAAAUUCUAGAACUGUUCUAACUCUAGCACGUUUAAUCCUUUUAAUCUUUCGGAUCUAAAUGCCGUCCAAAAUAUUAUAGCCGAAUUAAUAAGUUUAUUCUAAAUCCUGGAAGGUAUCACAACUUACAAACUCCUUUUGUUUUAUGUGGUAUAUAUUGUUUGUCGGAUACCUAACAUGCACAUGAGUGAGAGACUUACAUACAGGGAUAUAAAACGGGUCAAGCGGUCUGUAGGCCGCCCGGCACAGCCUUGUGCCAGGCUGCAGCACGGCACGGGUGCUGUAGCAUCCGUGUUGGCUCGGCUUGAAAUUAUGGAUCGUGCUGGGCCUCUUCCUUUAGACUCGAUGGCCCAACACAGCCCGGCCCGAAAUUGAUCUGGACCGUCGAGAGGCUUGCAGCCUAGACCCCAAAGCAAAGGUAACUUAUCGGGCCUUGGGGUCUGAGCUCUCCUCCUGUUGCAGAUCUUGGGAGGAGUAAUUUUGGUCCAAUAGACCAAAUAAUUUUGGUUCAUUGGACCGAGAUCUCCCUCUUAACUUUUAAAUUUUUUAUCAAUAAUAUUAAUUUAAAUAAAAAUAAUUUUUAUAUUUUUUAAAAAAAUAAAAAAUAAAAUUUUUAAAUGGUCAGCAUGGAGCAUGGCCCGAGACGUACUUGUGAGCAAGAGACUUGGAAUAUAGCUCCGGCCCAACAAGGCCCAUCUCGGAUUUGAAGCCAGAACGGCUCCUAGUCCGUUUCGACCUGACUAAUGUGGACAAAAUGUUUGUGAGCGAGAGUGUUAAAACUAAUUCUGAACAAUUUUUUGGAUAAUAAUUAACUACAAGUACUAAGAAACAGCAUCCAUGACCAAAGUUCUAAGGAGAAUUUAAGUAAUUAGUUAAUCCUCUCUCUCACAUGAUUCAUGCUCUCGUAUCAUAUUAAAUUAUAUAAAAAUAAUUUUUUAAUAUUUGGGUAAACUUCAAUUUGCCUCCAUGUGGUUUAGUGUAAUUUUACUUUAUUAUCCUGUAUUUUUAAAGCUACACUUAAUUACUCUAUAAUUUUAUUUUUAUUUCAUCAAAAGAAUUUGCUGCCAAAUAGAGUAGCAAAGUAAAAAUUUUUUAAAACCACAGAAUGAUACUCUGUUUAAUAAUAGAUCUAUACGAUAAAAAUAAAAUUAUAUAAUAGUUAAGUACAAUUUUUUCAGGGAGGGAGUGGCAAAGUGAGAAAAAACUAAACCAUAGGAGAGUAAUUUAAAGUUUUCCUUUAACAACCUUACAUUCAAUGAAACUGCUCACUCUAAUAUAUCUUGAAUGGUUAAAAUUAAUCAUAGAAGAACACAAGGAUGAUAUAUUCUAUUUACCCAAAAAAAAGAAAAAGAAAAAGAAAAUGCUUUUUGUAUACCCUUAAAAAAGGGUGUAGAUCUUAAUUACACCUUUAUCCUAGGAUUGAUAAAAACUCAAAUAGUUUUAGUAAAAUUAAAAAAAAAAAAAUUGAUGUGAUAAAUAAAGUAUUAAUAGUCCUGGAAUAAAUUCGGUGUAAGCGGGGGUGGAGGAUGUUAUGAUCUUACUGAAGAGUCUUUCUCAGCGCCGGCACGACGCGGUCGCAACGCGCGUCGCUGCACCACAGCUUGGAGGUGACGAAGAGCUCGUCCCGCGUACCGAUGACCCCCGACCGGACGGCCUCAGACACCGCCUCGCCAAGCGGCUCCUCGGACUGAUACAAUGCAGCAGUGUCGAAAUGCCGGUACCCUAACUUGAUGGCGUGCAAUAUCGCCGACUGCGUGGCCUCCGACGACACGAAAGGGUACGCCGCCGUGCCCAUGCCGAUGCGCGGCAUCGCCUUUGACGAGGAGCCUGAGCUCAAACACACCUCUGGGAUUCUUGUUUCCAUACUGUUUCUGGAGUUAGCAGUACUGUAUGAAAGAUCUCCUGCUUCUCCUACAUACUUGUUCGUCUAGUUUCUAUGUAUUUAUAGUGCUCUUGUAUGUGUUAAGUACUGAGAAAAUCUUUAUAUAAGCACUAAAAAUAGUUACUGCAUGGUAGCAGUAGGCAUAUGCCGUUGAAAAUACAAUAAUUAUAAUUAUUUGCAUCUUGUUUAGUGAGAUAUAAUUAGAAACGUCACAACUAUAAAUAACUUAUUGGUUAUACACGACCAAGAAGUGCAUUUAUGGAAAUUUCUCAUUUUAUAUAUGAAGUGAAUCAGGUUAUGAGAUUAUUCUAUACAUAUGAACAAAAAUUUAUUAUAAAUUACUUUUGUUUAGAAUUACUCUUUCAACCGCUGCUGUUAGAAUUAUGACCAAUGUGUGGUCGUUUCAACCACUGCAGUUGAGGCUCCUCGUGCAGUUCCAACUGGAGCAGUUAAAUCCAAAUGCAUCAAAUUAACUAAACAGUGAAUUUAAAUUUACAUGUAUUUUAUAAUUGCAUAUAUGUAAGUGCACUAGUAAUUCAUGGCCUUCUUUAUUCAUUACUUUGGAUCCAACAAUUUUUAAACAAUGAGAAAAAUGCUAGGUUGCAGAGAUUGAAUAGGGUGGAGAAAUUAUUCCCUGCUCUUGGUGUAUAAGUAUAUUCCAAUGUUAAAAUCAAAAUUUAAUAUGAAGGAAACUUUAAAGAUCCUAUAUAUAAAAAUCUGAAAGCUUAUAACUUAACUUAAGCAUUAAAUAGUUUAAUUAGUAAAUUAACAGUGGAGCAUGGGCCAUUGUUUGGUUUGCAAGAAGGUAAAAGCAUAUAUAACUUAUCUGAUUAUAGACCAUUUUAAAUUAACUACUCAAUUUUUCAAAAUUUUGAUUUUAUUACUAAAUUUUUCAUUUUGUUUGAUUUGAAUCAAUCAAUGAUAUUUUGAUUUCAGAAAUUUGAAUAUGUUGUUUAUUUUUAUUGAGUUUAGUUAGUAUACUUUAUGCAAUUAUUGCAAAUAUAUAUUCAUUAAAAUAAGUAAUUAGCAUAAAUUUUGAAGUCAAAUUAUCACUGACUCAUCAAAAAUCAAACAAAUUGAAAAAUUGUAUAGUAAAAUCAAAAGUUUAAAAAGUUAGAUAGCAGAUUCUAAAUGGUCAAUAGUUUAAAUAAGUUAUGUAUAUUUUUGCAUUAUAAUAAAUCAACCCCUAAAUUUGUGAUUUUUGAUAUAUGUAGGCAUUUUAAAUAUCUAAAACACAUGCAUUCGAUGGAUACAAGUUGGAUUUUUAUUUGAUAUUGAGUUAUAUAACUGUGGGGUCUGAGAUGUACAUCCCGUGCAGCUAGAUGUAGGCUUGGGGUGGGCAUAGUUUGUUUGGGCUGAUAGAAAAAUUGAAACCGAGCAGGCCAUUAAUUUUUUUCGAUUUGAGAAAAAUAAAAUUAAAAUUAAAAUAAUAUAUACCAAUGGUGCAAAAAACCAAAUAGAAACCACACUGAAAUUUUUGGUGUAGUUGAUCUUUCGAUUCUUAACCCAAAAUCAAAUCAAAAUUUUAAUUUUAAUUUUUUUAACAUCAAAUUUAUACUAUCUGUAAUCAAAAUUGAACCAAACCAAAUUGGAAUUGUUGGUUUGAUUUGUUUCAUGGUUUUGUGUAGUCCCAAUGCUCACCCUAGUGCAGGCAAAAACUGUUGGCUUAAAUGGGCCAACAUCCUACACUGUGACGGGAGACCAUAUAGAUCGAGUCAUGUUCGAAAUGGCGUAAGACUGGGUUGGGCUGAGUCAUAUUCGAAGUGGCGUGAGGCUGGUUGGACCGAGUCACAAUCGAGACCUGUGGGCGCUAUUUCUGUAUGCUUUAAGUGAAUUGAUUGUGUAUUUCUAACAGCUUGAGCUUUUAGGAUUAAUGGUUAGCACCAACAAUCCGACACGUGGUAUUAGAACCAAAAGUCACUAAUUUGAUUCCCGCAUGCUGUAAAUAUGUUCAGCUGCUGGAUGGGGGAUUGUUGGCUUAAAUGGGCCAACAUACCUCUCUGUGGUGGGAGGUCAUGUGGACCAAGUCACAAUCGACACCCGUGGGCACUGUAUCUGUACGGUUUAAAUAUCCGUGGGCGCUGCCUUUGGAAUUAAUGGUUAGCAUCAACGAGCUAACAAAAACCUCUCAAGUGAUAACAAAUCCUCUCUCUCUCUCUCUCUCUCUCUCUCUCUCUCUCUCUCUCUAAUGAGGUCCACGAGAAUACUCCGAUUCUAAUUAAAACUUUGAAAACCACAAUAUUGCUUCUCGUGCUUAAUUGUUAAACAUAUUGGUGUUAUCUAAUUAAAUUAUAGUACAUGUAUAGUACGCUUAUUGUGCAAAACCUAAUAUAUAUUUUUUAAUUAGUAUUAUUUUAUAUAAAUAGUAUAUUUAUUGUACAAAUAAUUAUGUACUAACUCUCUCUCUCUCUCUAAUGAGGUCCAUGAGAAUACUCCGAUUCUAAUUAAAACUUUGAAAACCACAAUAUUGCUUCUCGUGCUUAAUUGUUAAACAUAUUGGUGUUAUCUAAUUAAAUUUUAGUACAUGUAUAGUACGUUUAUUGUGCAAAACCUAAUAUAUAUUUUUUAAUUAGUAUUAUUUUAUAUAAAUAGUAUAUUUAUUGUACAAAUAAUUAUAUAUAGUACAUUAAUUGUACAUUCUAGUACGAUUCUUAAAGAUAUAAUGUAUUAACUUUAGGGUCAAUUUCAGCCCCUCUAAACUUCAAAAAUAUCAUAGAUGCCCCUAUAAAUUUGAUUAUAUCACAAUUAUCCCUACAAAUACUUAUUAUUUUUCAAAUAUACCCUUACCCUUACUAUUCAUCUCUUUAUAGAAUGAUAAAAUAUUUAGAUUAUCAUAAAUAUGGUCAAAAUGUCCAUUUUGCCCUUAACUUCUAAAAUUUUUUACAAAAGUAUUUUAGCAUGAUAUAUUUAUUUUAAAAUAUUAAAAUAAAUAGUAAAAUAUAUCAUUUUACUGCUGUGUGGUUUAUAAAAUAAGAUACUUUAUAUCAUUUAUUUUAAAAUUCGAGAUGUCAAAGCACAUAAAUUUGUACUAAUUCAAAUAACUUAAUUCACAUCAUGCAUAUAUAUUUAAGUUAUAUUUUGAAUAAAUUGUUUAACCUUAUUUUAAGGAGUCAAUUGAUACUUUAAACAAUUUUUUGCUAAAUUUUUUUCAAAUGAUUUUUUUUUUAUUUUUAGCUUAACUUGUCAGGAUUAUAUAUUCUUUUUUAAUUGACAAAAAACUUAUCUCUAAAUAUGGUUAUUUAUAAAUUUUAAAGAGUGUUUUAUAAAAAUAUAAAUGGUUUUAUAGUCAAAUUAAAUAUUUAAGAUGGUAAUGACAAUAAGGGCAAAGUGGAAUUUUGUUUGUUGUUUAUUCAAAUUGAAUAUAAAUUAGUGUAAAGGUUAUUUUUGAAAGUUUCUCCCUUUAAAAGUUAUUUAUGAUAUUUCAAUUUUUAUACGGGCAUUCAUGAUAUUAGACUUAUUUGGAAGGGUAUGAUGAAAUUUUCCCUUAACUUAUUACUGGCGCAUUUUUUGCAUUUAGACCCCUGACAAAUUUUUUUUAAAAAUAGCCCUGUCAUAAUUUAAUUUGCAAAAAUGCCCUGAGCCUGCCACACAGGCGCCACGUCAGUGCAACGCGGCCGGGCUGGGCCCGGUGUAUUAAGUGAACACGGUGAACCAUUCACCGUGUUCAAACACGGUGAAUGGUUACCGUGUUUAGUACGUAUUUUUUCGCCACGUAUUUUUGUAUAUUGAAAAGUAAAUAAGGAGUAGGGAUUCAAUAGAUUAUGGAUAUCCGAAAUAUUAUCCGAAUUCAAAACCGAAUAUAUAUAUAUAUAUAUAAUUUAUUUUAUUUAUUUAUACAAUAUAAAAUAUUUAAUAAUUUUAUUUCUUAAAUCUUCAUCCAAUCCAUCGGGUUUUAAAAAUCUAUACCGUUGGAUAAAGAUCUAAGGAAUAAAAAUUAUUAAAUAUUUUAUAUAUUGUAUAAAUAAACAAAAAUAAAUUACGUAUAUAUAUAUAUAUAUAUAUAUAUAAUUUAUUCGGGUUUGGAUUCGGAUAAUAUUUCGAAUUUUCAUAUCUAUUGACAUCCCUACUCCUUAUUUCACUUUUCAAUAUACAAAAAAUACGUAAGAAACACGGUAAACCAUUCACCGUGUUUAGACACGGUGAAUGAUUUACCGUGUUCAACUUAAUACCCUGGCCCCAGUCCUGCCCGCGUAGCGCUGACGGGGCGCCUGCGUGGCAGAGAGAGGGCCAUUUUUGCAAUUUUAAUUUUGAUAGGGCUAUUUUUAAAAUAAAAAUUGCUCAGGGGGCUAUUUGCAAAAAAACCCCUUUAUUACUUCAAAAAUUCCUGAAACUUGCAUUUUUUUUAAUUGUAUAUUUAUUAGACGAGAUCCACAAUUUCUUUUAAUACUUCAUUUUCGAUGUACUUCUCAAUGCAAAAUAAUUAGAUGUUUAAGGGAAAAUUUUGGCAACAUAUAAAAACUCCAUAUAAUAAUAACAAAUAUGUUUCAUGCGACAAAUUAAUAAUGCACACAAAUUUUCUAUAAAAUUUGCAAAUACGUCCUAAAGUUUAGAUAAAUUGCAAUUCGCUUAAUUUUUUUUAUUUAAAUGAAAUUAUACAUGAAUUUGUCUAGUUCCUUGCAAUUAAUACCAUCUUUGAAUUUAUUUACCCUCUUUAGAUUAAAUUUUACAUAAUUUAUUUCCCUUUGGUUAUCAACUUAUGAUUUUAAAAUUUCAAUGUUAUGAUUUACCGUUUAAUACGGUAUAUAGUACGAUGACAUAAUUUAUAAAUCACUUUAUAAUACAUUUAAUAUUAAGGGCUAAGCUUAUGUACUUCCGAAAGCACGAAGGUCUCUGCACUUGUAAGUUAUUUUUAUUGAUGGAAUAUCCGAUUCGACGAUUGGCUUCAUUAGAUAUGACCUACGCUAUUAAAAUUAUUUAGAAAUCAAAUUUCAUAAUUUUUUUUAUUUCUUUUAUCUAGUGCUAGAGUAGUCUCAAAAUAAACGGCUACAAAUAAAAAUCUCAUAAACAUCAGCGAUAAAAAACUCAAAUUUUAAAUCAGAAGUAUUGUUCUUGUUCUUGAUAUUCAGUAGAAUUUUUUAUUAAAAUUCAUAUAAUUUAGAUUCUUCUACGUUGUUGAAUUUACACACCCGCCACAUCCUUUAAUUACUUAGUAAAUAAUGUUAGAAAAUUAUAAAAUUUAGUUUCUAAAUAGUUCUAAUAACGUAGAUUAUAUUUAGAAAAAAUUUCAAAUACCAUCCAUGUGGUUUCAUACUUUCUUACUUUAGUACCUUGUGGUUUAAAGUGUAUCAAUUUAGUAUCCUAUGGUUUUAUUUUUAUCUUUUCGUCAGCUUUUCUGUUAAUAUUUCGUUCAAUUAUAUACAAAAAAAACUUUAGAUACCACAAAAAUUGGUAGAAUCAAUGAUAAAAAGAUAAAAAUGAAACCACAUGAUACUAACUUGAUACACUUUAAACCACAUGGUACUAAAGUGAGAAAGUGCAAAACCACAAGAAUGAUAUUUGAAGUUUAUCUUGUUAUUUAAUAGAGCUGAUCGUUGAAUCGAAUAUCCGAUUAUCAAAACAACUAACAAGCACAAAAGCCUCCUUGCUUUCAAAAAUGCAGGAGACGUACUCUAAUGUUAAUAUCAUAAUUUUAGAAAUGACGUACUCUAAUGUUAAUAUCAUAAUUUUAGAAUUUCUAAUUUAUUAUCUUGUGGUUAGUAAAAUAUAUUAGAUUCUUACGAUAAAAUAGAAGUAAGAUUACUAAAAAAGUGUAAUUUUUAAACCUUAUAUAAAUCAAAAAGGGGUAAUUUGAAGUUUACACAAAAAUUUAAGCUUCGAAACUAAAAUUUGAGCCGAUCCUUAGGGAGCGAACUAAGUAACCGAGUGGUCGGUCCACAGCUGACGUGGUGGACCAAGUCCAGAUGAGUAUUACUUACUUAUCCUGGUAAAAGGCCCGGUCCAAUAAGAGCGUGGACCGGGCUCCGUUCGGUCCAAUCAGAGUCAACGGGGUCAAUAUGCGUGGGCCCACUUUAAGCCCAAAAAGGACCUAGUAAUAUAAGGUGGGCCAACCUAAACGGGCCGGGCUUAUUCUAAAAGAAGAGUAAAAAUGCACAGGAACACCUCAGCUAUACGCAAUUUUGAAAUGGAUUCUCAACUAUUUUGCGUUCCUUCUUAAUACUUUUUAUAUAUUUUUUUGGUUGAUCUAAGUUAUAUUCAUUGAUUGUAAAUAAUAUUUUAUCGGAGUAGCAGCAGUUUUAUCGAACAAGUUUUUUUUUUUUUUUUUUUUUUUUUUUUUUUUUUUUUUUAAGAUGGCUAAACCGUGAAUUUUUAUUAAUCAUUAGCUAUUGAUAAUUGGACCAUUAAUUUCAAUGAUUUUUAACUUAAUAUAUAAAAAUAUUUUGAAUUGAAACAGUUCAUAUAAACACUUGAUAAGGGGGAUUCUGAAGUGACUGGGUAGGGUUGGCAAUCUAUCUCGUUGUACGCGAGCUGGCUCGUGUUUAAUUCGAAAUAAACUCGAGAUCGAUUUAUUUGUUUAAUAAACGAAUAGAAUACGAACUAAAUUUUUUAACUUAUAUCUUAAUCCCGAACACGAGCGUUCCACUUACUCGCGUUUGCCUCAUAUAUAUUAUAUUUAUAUAUAAUAUGCAUGUAAAAUAUAAAUUUUAACUAUUAAAAAUUUAAAUUUCGAUCUAUAUACUGAUUAACUCAAUUUGAUAAACUAAUCGAGCUAACGGGCUGAACACAAGUCAGCUCGUUUUACUCCAAUUCGAUCAUAAGCUGGGCUUUUUAAGCUCGUCACGGGCUCGAACUAUACAUGAGCCUCUCUCAAAUAGUUUCAAGCCAAAUAUGAGGCAGCUUCACUUCGCUCGUUUUUGUUUUAUCCAUAGCUUUAUAACCUACAAAGUAUGAUUUAGUUUUUUUUUUCAAGAUGCACCCAUGAAAUAGUUUAUAGGCCUAUCUACAAAUUGUCUAUAGGUGAGGGGCUUCCGUGCAUUUUAACCCUCUAAAACCCUAGCUAGUACAAAAUUACACCGCCCUUUCUUCUUCCUCAGUUUCCCUCCCAUUUCCCUAGAGAGAGAGAGAGAGAGAGAGAGAGAGGGGAAAGGGAGAAAAGGGAGGGGAGAGAGGUUUUAGAGAGAGAGAGAGAGGGAUCUAGAGAGAGAAAGAGGAGAGAGGGGGAGAGGGGAUGAGGGAGGAGGAGGUGGAGCGGUUGAGGGGGGUGGUGAGGGACUGCGUGAGCAAGCACCUCUACGCGUCGGCGAUCUUCUUCGCCGACAAGGUGGCGGCGGCGACGGGGGACGUCUACAUGCAGGCGCAGGCGCUCUUCCUCGGCCGCCACUACCGCCGCGCCCUCCACCUCCUCAACUCCUCCCACAUCGUCCUCCGCGACCUCCGCUUCCGAUACCUCGCCGCCAAAUGCCUCGUAAUAGACUCCCUUUUCCCUGCUGUUUGAAUGAGAAUUAUUCAUUGGGAGAUUUCAUCGAACACCUGAUUUGUGCAGUUUGAAUGCGAUUCAUUUCCUUCUAUAGCAUGCGAAUCCCAAAAGUGGGGCAUAGUUUCUGUUCAAUCAUGUUUAUUUAACUUGAACACUUCACUCUCUGAAUUAUCUCUUACAAUUGCACUUUAAUUUGCCAUCAGUAACGAAAUUAAGCAUUCAUUUAAUUACUAUUACCCUAUGUGAAGGAGUAAAAUGGCAAUUGUAUAAGAAAAAUUACAUCUUGAUGGUCAGAGAGUAAAGGUUGUUGAAUAUGUAAAUUAAAAACACUGUUUGCUGAUAGCUUAAGCUUUUGGAGAUAAAUGGUUGUUUCACUUUAUUUAACAAAGACAACAUAUGAAUAGCCGAGGGACUAAAAUGUUCAAAUAAUAAGUACAGGGACCAAUUCGUGAUGUUCGGACAGUAUCAGGGAUUAUCCAUAUAUUAUACUAUUUAAUUUUUCGAGAAGAGUUAAUGUUCUCAAGAAAAGGCUUGUAAACCUAGAUCUCCAGUUAGCAUAAUCAAGGUCAUCCUAUUUGAUUGUUGAAUGUUUCAACAAUGCUUUCAUUGUUCUUUGCCUAAAUUUUAUACAAUCCCGUACUUAAUUUAUUUCAAUUCACGCGAGAAAUAUGAUUAGAUAAAGACAACUUUCUAAACAACAAAGCCGUGUUAUUUUAGAAAUCUACGUCACUGUCAUUGUGCCAUUUUGGUUAGAGAUGUUAUCACUUCAAGUCCAAUCUUUUCUUUCCAAUGGGCAGUUGUUAGAUUUUUCACCCGGUCUUGGGGUCUAAGUACUUGAUAUUUGAUGUUUCGAUGGUUACACAGGAUUAUUAUUUAUUCUAAUUUUAUUCUUACUAGAAUUUUUUAGAUCCUGUUUGGAUGUAUGAAUAUCGUAUUUGACAUAUCUCUUUGAUUUACUUAAGAAGCUUUUAAUAUUUGGUAGAUGAGAAGUAUGAUGAAAUGUUUCGAAUGGAUACCAUAUUCCACCUUCAAUUCAUAUUUUGGGAAAAAGAUAAAUCACAUCGUAAGUGAAAUAUGCUAUCCUCCCUAAUCAUGAAUGCUAAGACCUUUUAAAAAAUCAAACUCUUGCUUCCAACAACACAAGAAAAUCUCAUGCCAAAUAGGUCAUCCUUGGAUGACUUUUUCUGACGUCCAAACUGGGCCUUAGUCUUAGCAUUUUACGUCUUUGACAAAUUUAAAAACCUGCUGUUGCUGCCUUGCUCGCUAUGUUAACCUCUACUUCCACAUAUUCUAAUUAUUUGUUGUCACAUUUCAUCUCAAUUAGGAGGAGUUGAAAGAUUGGAAUCAAUGUUUGACGAUGCUAGGCGAUGCUAAGUUGGAUGAACACGGAAAUGUUCAUUCCCAACAGGACGGCACUGCAAUGUACUUAGAUAAGGAUGGCGAAGAUCGGGAAAUUAAUGUACGGUUUCUGCUUAAUACAUCUUGAUCUCCUCUACAUUCUGGAAGAGAAAUUGUUACAUUCCUACGUUGUGGUAUUAAAAUACUGAGUAAUUAUUUGCGCAGAUCUUCUAAUAUACACCCUUACAAAAUUGUGUGUAUCCCUUCAAAUUCUGAUAGUUCUUCUUCUACUUUAAAAUUUUAAUUUCUUACAAGUUUAUCCUUUUACAUACAAAAAUUUCCCUCAUUACAAAAAUUUUUCUAGUAGAAACACUGAUUUCUCCCCAUAAUUUGGAUGACUUCCCAACUUAAGAUAAAGAUCUUUUUAACAAUUUGCUCUUUCAAGGAAUGUAUGCCAAUUCAGAUUUUAUAGGAGUAUAAACAUAGAUAGAUAAUUUUGCAGGGAUAUUUGUAUGUAAAAGGCAAGAAGCCCCUUGUUUAUGUUUAGUUCAUUUAUUUGCUUUGCUCUGUUUUGACAUAUUGUGGACAGCAUAUGCAAUAUUAACUGUAUGAAAUAAAAUCUCACCAUGAAAUUCAGGUAAAUUCGCAAACUACUCAAUGAAAUCCAUGUUGUACUUGAAAACUACUCUUGACUGUGGAAAUCUGCUUUAUAUUAUCCAACUCUUUUCAAGAAUUUCAGCUAACAUAGUCAACUUUGUACUUGAUGAAUUUUAAACAAAGUUAAAGAUGCUAAGCUCAAGCACUAUUUUGCAUCAUCAGAUAACAGCAGCUAUAUGUUUUUUACGUGGAAAGGCAUAUGAAGCAUUGGACAAUCGUGCCCAAGCUCGAGAAUGGUGAUUUUUUUCCCUUUUUUCGUUUUGAGACCAGUACUUUGUGUUAUAAUUUUCUGUUACUUAAAAGUUAUUUGUAGUAAUGUUUCUUUCCAUAUGUUAUUGUGGUGGCAUUUUAAAUUUCUUGCAGCUUUAUUUAUAAUUGAAUUGCAAAUCUACUUUAGUUUCUAAAGCACUUAUGCAGUGGAAACUUCAUUUAUUGGUUUGGGUAUUCUGUUCAGCUCUUGGCCUUUAUGUUUGCUUUAGGGAAAGUUGCCCAAGUUUGCUCUAAUGACUUGUUUAUAUUGUGUGUUUAAGGUACAAAGCAGCUGUUAAAGCAGAUCCUUUAUGUUAUGAGGUGAGCAUAAUAACUUUGGUCCCAACGUACAUUUAACAACAAGAAUAAAACUCCAAACAUGUAAGAAUCGAAACCUUCCCAUGUAAUGGGAAAUGUAGAUCUCUAGACUUAUAACUAGCCAUUAAUGUAAGCAUGUUUAAGCAGUAAAUUAAUCUGCUGAUGAAAAUUUAUUUUCUUAACUUUCUAUUUUGUCAUGUUUUUACUGCAAAAGAACAUGUAGAAACUUCAGAUACUCCGGACGUAUUUAAGAGGAUUGUGCGGGCAUAAUCUCUUCAAAAGAACAUAUAGAACCUUUGCAAAAACUAGUACUUGGUUGUCAUAUAUUUAGAGCCGGUUAGACUAGGCUGAAACUUCUGAGUAGAGCCACUAAGAAACAGCACUAACAGCUCUUCUUUAGAUUUACAAAAUAGGGUUCAUAGUCCUAGGAUUUUCAUUCUUCUGUAUAUUUACUGCUUCUUCUACUCAAAUUAUUUAUUGCUUUGUGUUUCAGGCUCUGGAAUGUUUGGUUGAUAACUACAUGUUGACUUGUGAGGAAGGUAAAAUAUAACAGUUAAGCAUAAAUGGAUCUUUAUUUGUAUAUAUCCUUUCUUACUAUUGGUGUUAAAGAUGGUGCAAUUAUUUUUGUUGAACUAGCACCAUGUGAUUAUGAGAUAUAGAACAGUGCAUGGAAUUUCUCUUGUUUAGACGAAGUUGGGUUCAAGUUUAUUAUUGUUGAAUUAGCUGAUGAAAUUAUUUAUUCACCAUUUAGAAUUCAUCUUCAUUCAGCUAUAAGUUAGUUGACUCUCUACUCUUUAGUUAGGUUUUCACUUCCAUGUGCUUUCAUCAUAUCUUUUUCUACUAUAUUCUAGGAUCAUAUAACAAGAUAAAAAGAUAAGCUUGUUCGUAAACAAUUUGUAAACGCAAUAUGUCAAAAUUUCCUUCAAAUUUGGUUGCUGCUUCUCAUAUGUGCUGUUUCAAGGUUAAAAUCUAUCAUGAUUUGUAUAUUUAUAUUCUGUCACAGUAGUCCUAAGCUAUGGAAUAUGAUGUUAUGGACCUUAACUGAACCGUAUCAUCGGGGGCUUAUUUCCUAGUCGAUUUAUACCUUGUUUAGCUUGGAAUACUUUGACCUAAAAGUGUUGCAACAUUCCCUUUAACUGACAUAACUGGAAAAAAGGGAGGCCUUAAUUUUAAAAAAUAUGUUUGAAUUUUUUACUUCUCCUCACAUGGAGAUGUCGAAACUGUAGGCUUAGUAUCUUUAGUUCCUACAUUCAAUGUAGUAUGAUCAGAUAUGUAAUAGCCAUUGAGCACAUCUUGUCAUUUGCCCAUAGAUUCGGUCUUCACAGACAAAGGAUUGUGAGAAGUGCUACUUAAUCUGUAGUGGAGAAUUUUCUUGGUUUAUGUCUUCUAAAUGUCCCAAUUUGAUUCUUGAAUAUGCACUUCGUUUUUGUAAUAUUUUUAAACUGAUUUUUGGGUCUGGUUAUCUGACGAUGUAACCUAUGAUUUUAAAUUUUAUAUUUCAGAAUCAGAUUUAUUAUCUUCUGUACAAUUUGGGAAAGAUGACGGGUGGUUAUUGUCGUUCUAUUCAUGUUUGAUAAAGAAGGUAACAAAACUAUUUUUUGAAUUUUUGUGUGUAGUUGCAAAUGAUGAGUAGGGAUAUUCCAUCAAAAAUUCUGUUAAUUUGUGCUCUAUAUAGUGCUUUUAAUCUUCUUCUUUAAUUCAUUUAGCAUGACAAAGAACAUGUUGUAGAAGCGAAAUUCAGAGAGCUUGAAAGAGAGACUUGUAUCACAUCUUCGAGUUCUCCUUUUAGCCAAACACUGAAAAACAACAAUGACCUUUUGACUUGUAAAGCUGAAUACUACCAACAAUGUGGAGAGUACCAGAAGUGCUUUGAGCUUACAUCAGCGUAAGUUGCGAUCAAAAAUUGCUUGCAUUAUUAUAAUUUUUGUUUAUAGAUUUGUGUCUUGAGAUAUGCAAUUCCAUGCUUAUUUUAGGAUUCUAGAAAGAGAUCCAUUCCACUUAAAAUGCACAUUAGUUCAUUUGGCAGCUGCACUGGAGCUUGGCCAUUCAAAUGAACUCUAUAUUCUUGCUUGCAAUUUGGUGAAGGAUUAUCCUCAGAAGUGAGUAUCUAUUACUGCUUGUCAUAGCUUUGAUUUUUUUUUUUUCAGCUUAUUAAGUCAGAAAUUUGCAAAGUCCAUGUUUUUAAAAUGAAUUUUCCAUCUUUAGCUUUUGCUGUUCUUUUCUACCAAUUUUUCCAGUGUGUAGAUUGCGAUAUUUAAAUUCUUUUCUGCCAAUUUUCCUAUCUGUAGAUUGCUAUAUUUUAGAUAUUGCUAUAAGAAAUGUAGAAAAGGUAAGUUAGAACCUGAUAUUAUGGCUACAUGUUGGCCCUCUAGAUAAAGAUUGUGUUAAACAUGCAAACUUGGACUAGUUGCAUUCUGGAACAGGUACUGAAACUUUUAAAAGUUAAAAUAGCAUUUUGAAGUAGGUACCUGACUUCAAAGUUUUGAUUCCACUACCUAACCUUACAGUAGUUAUUUUCGUUGCUUGCUAGAGCUCUUUCCUGGUUCGCUGUUGGGUGCUAUUACCACUGCAUCAAGAAGUAUGACCAAGCAAGAAGAUACUUCAGGUGGUCGUUGUUCUUUUUCUAUCAAUGUUUCCACCUGCUGCUCAUUGUAUUUGUAACUAGUAUUUGGAGUCACAUUAUAUGCUUCUCUAUUAUGGAUCCUUGCUCAUAGUUGGACUCGCCUGAUAACUUCAGUUACUUUUUUCACUGCUUUAGUGGGUAGAACCCUAUUCAUGAAUUCAUAAGCACUUCCAUUCACGUAGUGCCUUUCUCUAUUAUAUGCACAAAGAAUUCUGUAUUCUGUGCCAUUCAGGACAUGUAGAAGGAUGAUUGGAUCUUAUCCAUUAAAUUUGAAUAUUCUUUUGUACUUAACUAAUUUAAUAUUAUAUUCCUUUCUUUUCUGCUCACAUACUUCAGUAAAUAUUGUCUCAUAUAUGAUAGUUCAUGAAUUUGUGAGCUCUUCCAUUCACAUUGUGGCUUUCCCUAUUAUAUGCACAAGGAAUUCUGUAUACAGUGCUGUGCAGAACAUGUAAAAGGAUGAUUGGAUCUGAUCCAUUAAAUUCGAAUAUUCUUUUGUACUUAACUACUUUAAUACUGUACUCAUUUCUUUUUUCCUCAUAUACAUCAGGAAAUAUUGUCUCAUCUAUAAUAAUGCAACCUGAAAACUGCCAUUAUGGUCUGUUUACCUAAUGACGUAGAUACUCAGUAACUAAACAUAGUCACAUUUUCACAUAAGGGGAUUCAUGAUUUUUCUGCUUUUAUCUCCUGGUUCAUUUGUUUUGAUAUCUAAUUCUCCUGUAUAUUAGAACAGAGAUAUAUUAUGAACUAAUGUUUGGAUCUUUUUAUAUAUCAGCAAAGCAACUGGUUUAGAUGGUGCAUUUGCACCUGCUUGGAUAGGUACUGGUAAUGCUUUUGCUGCUCAAGAGGAAAGUGAUCAAGCGAUGGCUGCAUAUCGAACUGCAGCUCGCUUAUUUCCUGGGUAAUAAUCUUUUGACGUUCCUUGUUCUUUCUCAUUUAUAACAGACUUUACUGAUGUUUUUCACCUGAUGCAAUAGUAUUUGUGCCUAAAUAGGUUAUUAGCAUGCCAUUGCUUUCUACUUACCAACUUGGUCAUUGAUGGCUUGAAGCAAGGAUUUAAGUGCUGUUGCACAGGAUUGUGUCAAGAAUUUAUUGUCACGGUACGACAUAGUGUGUGCCGGACCAUGUUGAUGUGUGCCGGUCACAUAAAUACCUAUGUGCCAAAACAUUAUGGCAUGAAAUAUUUAAUUUUUUUUCACUCCAAUAUGUUGUAAUUGCUUAUUAUAUAUUUUUGUCAAAUCUUUUACACUUUAUUGAGGUAACUACUAACUACUAGCUAAUGUCAAAGAGAGGAGGGUUUUGAGUAGUGCUAUCAGCACAGGCGUGUCGAUAUCUUAUUGGCACAAUACAUCACGCUCGGCUUGACCCAUACCGAUGGGCAUUUAAAUCGUUGGUGUUAAGUGCUAGUUAACUACAACUAUUCAAGGUAGCACUAAUAAUUAUAUUCACUGAAAUUUCCGUGAUAUCUUCUCACUGCAAUAGAAACAGAAGCUUCUACUUUCGGUGUCAAGCUUCAAAAAUUUUGUUCAAAUGCCUCGUUAUCUUGUUGGCACAGUACAUCACGCUCGGCAUGACCCAUACCGAUGCGCACUUAAAUCCUUGGUGUUAAGUGCUAGUUAACUACCAACUAUUCAAGGUAGCUCUAAUAAUUAUAUUCACUGAAAUUUCCGUGAUAGCUUCUCACUGCAAUAGGAACAGAAGCUUCUACUUUCGGGGUCUAAAAGCUCACUUUACUACUAUAUCAAAAGCUUCAAAAAUUUUGUUCACAUGCCUUGUUAUGGAAGCUUCCGAUUUUUACAGUUGAGGACUUGAUCUAGAAACCGAGCCAAAGAGGAAAUAAGCAUUGUUAUUACUCCUAGGUCUGGUCAAGGCAUGCCACGCAUUCAAACAAGGCUUACAUUGUAAAUAGUACUUGGCCGGUACCUCUCAUUAAGAUGCUAUAUGCUCAUAAUCAAUUCUUUCCAUUUGUUUUAUCAUAUUCUUCUUAUUUCAGAUCUCACUUGCCAACGUUAUAUAUUGGCAUGGAAUACAUGCGAACUCACAAUUUCAAACUUGCAGAACAGGUACAAUAUUACAAUAUGCACAUUGGACAUUUAAUAUUUGUUGCAAAAUUAGAUGUUGUUAAUUGAAGUUAUAUUUCUCUUUUGUAAUUGAAAUAAAGCCAUCUCUUUAUGAUUUUUGUGUGCUUCUUUCUGCAGUUUUUUCUUCAGGCAAAGACAAUAUGCCCUUCUGAUCCACUCGUAUACAACGAACUGGGUGUUGUUGCUUAUCAUAUGAAGGAGUGAGUAAAUCAUUUCUGGGUAGCUUGCAUAUAUUUUUAAUUGGAUUCUUUAGUUUUUUUUAUUUAACAUCAUUUGUAGGGCUGGUUUGUUUGAGUUUGAGAGAUCAUAUAAAGUUACAAUAUUUCACCCAUGCUACUGUGAAUUACUACUAUUUUCUAUACGCCAAGCAUUUCCAACUUAGUUAUCUAGCUGUUAAAUAUGUGAGAACUGUUUGAUAUGUUUAUUUUGCUAGCAAUUCUAACUAUUUAACUGAUGAGAAAUUCUCAAUUUAAUUCCAGUAUAAUUAUCUGAUUGUUCUUAUUCUUUAUUUUGCUUUAGGUAUCAGAAAGCCGUCCAAUUUUUCGAGGUGACAUUGGAUUAUAUUGCAACUUCAUUAAGUGAAAUGUGGGAACCAACUUUGGUGAAUCUCGGACAUGCCCUAAGGAAAUUGAAGUAUGUCUAACUGUAAUAGCAAAAGUAUUCUAGAUAAUUUCUGUUGAUUGUGGUUGGACGCCUAGUUUGAAUAUUCUUCAAGUGGCUUAGUAUAUAAUAGAAAAUACUCAAAUAGCCAUUCUUUUGAAAUGUUAUCUUUUUCACCAAUUUGAGUGGUUUUCUAUAUUCAGAUUUAGGAUUUUUAUGAACUAAUAUGUAGAGCUCUAAGAUUGACAUUUACAUUAUGAAUUUGGCACUAGUUUAUGCACAGCAAAUUGACAAGUUGAACAAUAGGGGAAAAAAAAAAGUUAGAUACUUAUAUCACAUGUUGAAAAAUUUAGAAAAUAGUGUCUUUACCUCUUUCCUUAGCUGGAAUUAGUUGGUUCCCACACAUGGAGGAUUUUCUGUCUAUUUUGAUGAAUUCCUACUUAAUAUACCGAUUUACUUAUUUGUUUGCGAUUUUCUUGAAAAGCUAAUACCUGAAUAAAUGUCUCCAUCAGGAGGUACCAGAGAGCAAUAUCCCAUUAUGAAAAGGCUCUGUCUCUUUCAACUCGAGAUUUUAGUGCGUUUGCAGGCCUCGCAUACACUUAUCAUCUAAUGGUAUCUUUGCUAACCCUUAUUGGCAUCUUACUUGGAGCAAAACAAUUUCAGUUUUUCAUGUUGAUAUAUGCAAUAUCAAAGUUAGUUUCACAGUUUGUGUUAACAUCAUCUUCACAAAUUAAUUUUGUAAUCUGUGGUCAUGAGUUCCUCAAGUAUUCAUUGAUCUUAGAGCUGCUUCUAUUAAGCUUUUUAAGAUAGAUAUCCACCGCAAUCUCAUAUCAAUCGUCUUGUAAUUUUCUAUUUUUUGAUUUACGUGAUUGGACUUUUCGAUAGAAUGUCCUUUCAAUUUCAUUCUGAUUUGUUAAUCACAAAGUCCAGAAUGGGGCGAAAACAAAAAAAAAAAAAACACACACACAUCCGUGGGCACUAGUGACAUUGUGAAUUUGUAGCAUGGUAAAAGAAAAUAAAUCCUAAUGCUUCAGACAUGCAUGAACUUGUAAUUGCGAACGAAAGAGCAGGCAUGCGUUUGAUCCGCAUUUUUAAACAUCUUAUUAUGUUGUUUUUCAGAUUUUCUUCGUGCAACUUUUGGGUUCUACUAUUUUGGGCUUCACUGUUUUCUCUUUUUUCCUGUUACAGGAUCGGUUUGAUUCAGCAAUCUCUUAUUACCACAAGGUGAGUUUAAAAUGAGCACUUAUGCUGCAGUUAUAUUUGGUCAUUUCAUGGCAAACUUGUCGCGCAUUUAAAGUGAAUUAUUGUUCUACAAACUCAGCUGGGUUUCAUUCUGGAAAUCUUCAUCAUUCUAUAAAAUCUUGUACUCAAUUGGAUUUGGUCAUUUCCUAUCUAUCCGACUCCAUUCUUGGCUCUCUCUCUCUCUCUCUCUCUCUCUCUCUCUCAUUAGUUAAAUGAGGAGUUUGUUUCUACUGCUUCCAAAUUACACACUCCCAGAAUUUAUCACUCUUUUAAGUUCGAGUUUUUGCGCCAUUGAAAAGCUAUUGUUUCACAACCCUAAUCAUCUUAUUUUCACAGGCUCUGUGGCUGAAACCAGAUGACCAAUUCUGCACUGAAAUGCUAACUCUGGCCCUUGCGAAUGAUUGCCGAAGCAUCGAUUGUCGAAGCACCGGUCGGAGAAUAUGAUUAUAGCUUUGGUUGAGCGUGGCGUACCAUGUUAAUCUUAUAACAUGCUUGUAAUUUAUGUGGGAACAAAACUUUAUUACCAGUGUAGCAGCUGCUGUAUUCUCUAUGUUUUAUCACAUUGAUUUAUUUUCCCGCCAUUUAUUACAAGCUGUAACCACUUAGCCUUGUUAAAAGCAUUUACUUAUGCUUCAACUUAAAAUUACUAAUUAAAUAGGUCAGCAAUAGAAACUAUUAAAUCCAGUAGACAAUUUAUAAUGUAUUAAAAUUAUGGCCAUUAAUGUUAAUGCGAAAUUUUUAUCUAUUUCAUGUAAUUGAGGACUUGAUGUAUGUUUUUUGUGUCCAAUAACGCAAUAAACUCCCGAACUAGCCUAUUUGGACAAGUUACUUGGCCCGGCCUGAAAAUUACAACUCAAAUUUACUGUAAGGGUGCGUUUGGUUCGCAUUAUGAAAGAUUAUUAGAAAUAAAAAAUAUUUGAGAAUCUUAUUUCUAUUCAUUCUAUUACUAAGAAUGUGAAAUUUCUGUAUUUGGUUCGCACGGUAAUAUUAAUUAGCCAUAUUAUUUAAUAUUACAAAAAAUAUAUAAUUAAUUAAUUAAUUAAUUAAAUUAAUUUUAGAUAAUGUUAUCAAAAGUUUCAACAUCUUUUAGAAAAAAGAGAGAGAGUAUAAGUUAGAGAGAGAGAGCAUAAUUAAAAAAAAAAGAAAAAAAAAUAUAGUCGAAAUUAGAGGGAGUGAGAGAGUUGAAAUUUUAGAAAGAGAGAGAGAGAGAAAGCUUAGUUUAGAGAGAGAAAAAAAAGUUCAGAGAGAGAUAUAAGGUUAGAGUGUAAAGAAAAAUAAUAUCAAUUAGCCGGCGGGUAUGAAGAAAGAAAGAGAUUAGACAUAUUAUGAUUAUCCCAAUCCAUUAAUAUGAGGAUACCCACCUUCCCUCAAGGAAAUGAGAUUAGUACUUUGGGGUUAAUCUUAUUCCCAAGUGAAUCCAAUAUUAUCAACUAGAUUACUUAGUGCGUUUAGCCAAACACCGUCAUAUUUUUUUAUUUCCAUUGGAUUACUAGGAAUCUUUAAAAGAUAGCGCGAACCAAACGCAUCCUAAAGGUCAUAAAAUUUUGGGUAAAUUUCAAAAUACCAUCUUGUGGUUUUGCACAUUCUUACUUUAAUACUCUUUUGUUUAGAGUGUAUCAAUUUAAUAUCUAGGGUUUUAUUAUUUUUUUUUAUUAAUUUUUUCGUUAAUUUUUCGUUAAAUUAUAUACAAAAAUUGAAACUGCAUUAGUUGUAUUCGAAAUUUUUCCUAAAAUUUAUUUAGCCAGAGAGUAAGGGCAUGCUUGGAAAUGAUCGGUUGGAUUUCUCUUUUAGUUUCAUGAGAUUCAAAUAAAUAUAAACACCACCAGGUCCACGUCAUCCCAGGGCUAUUUCUGUAAUUUGAAGCUGCAGCAGUUGGCAAAUCUUCCGAAGCCCAUACGUACGUCUACUCUCAGUGGCAAUUUCGUAAUUUCGGUCAUGUUAACACUGUCCCAGGCAAUGGCAUUUUGGUAAUUACGGACCAGGCAUCUCAAGUACGGACGUAACAACCUCAGAAACCGCCUCUCGCCUCCCUAUAAAUACCACCUGAUCCACUCCCUCUUCACUCUCUCCUCUUUCUCUCUCUCUCUAGCUCUCUCUCGAUCUCGAUCUCGAUAGAAAUGGCGAUCUCCUUCCUCCUCCUCGUCGCCCUCGCCCUCCUCUUCUCCGCCACCUCCUCAGCCGCCUCCGCCUACGCCCUUCCUCCUUUCAACCAGUCGCCUUCUCCUCCGCCGCCGCCGCCGCAAUCGGCGGAGGAGGCUCACGAGGUGCUCCUCCUCGCCCCGAUCCUCUCCAACCUAGGGUUCCAGGAGCUCGCCAUGGCCGUCCCCGCCCUCUCCUCCCCGGUCCUCUCCACCUGGUCAGGUCCCCUCACCCUCUUCGCCCCCUCCGACGACUCCCUCCGCUCCUGCCCCUCCUGCUCCCCCCUCCGCCUCCUCCGCGACCACCUCGUCCCGGGCCUCUUCCCCCUCCCCUCCCUCUCCGCCCUCCCCUUCGCCUCCAAGCUCGCCACCGCCUCCCCAGGCCGCUGCCUCACCGUCACCUCCACCGCUCCCCACCGCCGCUCCGGCGACAACUCCUCCUCAUCCGCCGCCUCCGCCCUCAAGAUCUUCAUCGACGGCGUUGAAAUCGCGCGCCCGGAGCUCUUCAACGACGGGCGAUUCGUGAUCCACGGCCUCCUGGGCUUCGUCGCCCCGCUCUCCCCCUUCUCCUGCGUCCAGGAGCCCCGCGGCGAGAGCAACCCCGCCUCCGCCGACCCGAUCCGCGCCGGAUCCGGCGCCGCCGCCGCCGUCGUCCGCCUCAUGCUCCGCGACGCCAUCGUCCGCCUCCGCGAGGGCGGGUACAGCGUCCUCGCCCUCGCCAUGCGCGUCAAAAACGCCGAGCUCUCCGCUCUCAGCAACAUGACGGUGUUCGCCCUCGACGACCGCGCUAUCUUCGCCGGGGGCCACGCGUACGUCACCGAGGUGCGCUUCCACGUCGUCCCCGAUCGCCUCCUCACCCACGCCGAUCUCCUCCGCCUCCCUCCCGGGACCCUCCUCCCCACACUCGUCAGGGGCCAGCACCUCGUCGUCACCCACGCAUCCGCCGCAUCCCCCGGAUCGCCAUCGGGGCCCGCGCGAUCGGAUCUGCGGAUCAACUACGUCCCGAUCAAGGUGCCCGACGCGGUGAUCAACUCCCGGGUCGCGAUCCACGGCGUGCUCGCGCCGUUCCCGCACCUCCACCUCGCCGACCUCGCCGCCGCGGAGGAGGGCGCCCGAGAGGCCGCGGCGUCGGCGGCCCCGGCGAGGAGGAGCGGCCUCUGCGGCGCGUCGUCGCCGUUCGGCGAGUGCGCCGCCGCCGCAGCAGCAGGGGCCCCCGCCACGCCGCCCUCCGCAUCCUUCGCCGUCGAUUUCAUGGACGACGGCCUCUGAUGCGCUCGAGAUACGUACAAUCCCCAUCUCUCUCUCUCUGUUCCUUCUCAUCUCUUUUUUUGUCCGUUCCUAGGGUUCCUCGAGUAUAACAGUACGAUCACUUGUGUUCACUUGAUUCGAGAUUCAAAAAUAGUAACGGUGAAUUUUCGUUUUGUCAUCAGUUUAUUUUCCUUUUUUUUCUUUUAAUAAAAAAAAAUUGAGGGGUACUCGAUCGAUUGAUUUGGGUACAUCUGGUGUCACGUACAGUAAUGUUGAGAUGAUUGUUCGAGUAGUUGUCUUUGCAUUUUGGCGGGAAAGGUCAUGAGUGUUGUGACGGCUCAAUCGUAGCCGUUUGUCUCAAAAUGCAAGGAUAGGACAUUUGUUGUUAAUACUAGUCCAUCACUUUGUUCCAUUUAAAGAGGAGCCGUGAAUUGGCGCAAACAUAAUAAGAUUUUAGACAAUAUCAAUUAUUAUUUACUCUCCUGGAUAAACGCAUAGAAGAUCGAUCUAGUCCAUAAAUAAGAGUUUAUUGGCCUUACAUUACGUAGCUUUGUACAGCAUAAUAUGCUUUAGUUGUAAUACAAUUAGGAUGUUCAUUUGAGCUGUAGCAUAUAAUUAGCAACCAAAAGAAAAUAUGCAUGAUUGUAGAGUUAAUUUGAAAUUCAAUACAAUCUUACCUUUUCUGAACAAAUCAGAUCGAAUAAUUCAGUUGGUUUGAGCCCAAUAGUCGUCAUGAGUUUCUAAGGCUUCGUUUGAGAUUGCGGAGAGAUUGCGUUACGUGCGGUAAGAAAAUACGUUGAAAAAAUACCAUAUUUAUUUUCAUACAUAAUAUUGCGUUUCGUAUAUCGUGAUGAGUUGGUUACGAUAUAUUUUUUGCGGUUCCACCGGAAAACGUAGAAGCAUAUCCCUACAUAUACUUUUAUCCGAACUUCAUUUUAUCUAAUAGCGUUAAAUGAGCCUAAAUACCAAACUAAGUCUAAGACAUAGUUUGGGAUUUGAGAAUGCGUGUAAUGAAAAACUACAACUACGAUAAAAAAAUAUAUAUCUUAUCUAUUUCUAUACAUAAUAUCACGUUUUACAUAUUGCGAUAAUUUAGUUAUUUUUUACAGUCCCACUGAGAAAUAAAAAAAAUAUUUUUCUAUAUCCUUUAGCAUCAAACGGGCCGUAAGCUGCUCCAACUAGUAUGUGUACUCUUAUUUCAUUUUAUCCACUCCAGGUUUUUGUAAUGUUUCUCACUGCUAAUACGAUAUUCAAGGACAUUUUAUCCCUCCCGUGCAUAAUCAUCUUCGAAAAUUCAACCAGUUUAAAGAGUGGUUUAUUUAUCUGCCGAGUACCCAGAAGUUUGAACAUCUUCCGUAUUUAAAAUCUCCUGCAACCAAUCCCUCCCAAAAAGAAUUCCUAAAAAAUUUAAAAAAAAAUAAAAAGGAUUUGUGGAACUGUAUUAUUGUGCCUAAUGUAUGUUGUGGAGCAUUAAUUCUCCGUGAACCUUCUUACAGGAGUUAUCUAAGAAAAGCACAAUUGCCGUCCAUCUCAACCUCAGCAUUCAAUUCAACUAUUUACAUAUACAAAGCCCUUUUUGUUUCUUUUUUUAAAAAAAGAAAAUCCCACAUAAGGUGGUCUUAUUGAUUGGAGCUAAGCUUUGUUAAAUUUGAUCCUAUCUAACUAGCAAAUAGUGACUUCAUAAAAUGACUCUCUUCGUCUUCUUGAUAUAUAGAAAAUGUUAUUUGUACACAUAUUUAUAUGUGCGUAAAUCAUAAACUUCACUUACACUAAAAUUUAUAUAUUUUUUAAAAUUUUUAAUAUUAAAAGAACAGUAAGAGUAGUUGAGAAAUAGUUGUUGGAACAAUUACCGCAACGAAAAUCUGAUUGUGAUUUAAAUCUAACUAAAUUUGUGAUAAAUAAAUAGUAAUUGAGAAAUUAUUAAAUUAAUAAAUAAAAAAAUAAUAAUAGUAAUUGAGAAAUUAUUGAAUUUUCUCCAAUAAUAGUGACCUUUGAAUAAGUGAGAUGUGAAAUUUAUAUCUAAUCUGUUUGUAUAUAUAUACAGCUUACUCUUGUAGGAUACGUGGAGGCUUUUCUUAUCGUUAAACGCUCUCGGCAGCUAUAGACAAGUUCCUCCAACAAUAAUUCAGUUGUCAAUCAUUAUCAAAGUUUAUCGUUAUAUCACCGGAACAAAAAAGAACCCUACAAAUAUUCAAAUUCCCUCCUGGCAACUAAAAAAGAAAAUAAAAAAAAAUUUAUAGCGUAAUAAUAAAUUGAUCCAUUGUACACAAUCCCAGUAAUUCUUUUUUUUUUAUAACUAUUUCUAUAACAAAAUUUAAAUUUAUAAUCUAAUUAAUAAAAAAAAGGGAAAACUUCAAAAACCCCCCUGUGGUUUCAUAGUUUCUCACUUUGCCCCCCUGUGGCCCCUGUGGUUUCGUUUUUAUCUUUUCGGUAGCUUUUUCGUUAAUAUUUCGUUAAAUUAUAUACAAAAAACUUCAGAUAUCCAUCUAGAUUUAUCAAAUAUUCACUUUAGUAUCCUUUAAUUUUAACUUUAUUACUGAUUUAAGAAAAAAAAAUAAUAAAAUUGAUAAGAAAAAGAGAAAAAUAAAAUCACAGGGGGGCAAAUUGAUAUAUUUUAAACCACAGAGGGGGUAAAGUGAGAAACUACGAAACCACAUGGGAGGUUUUUAAAGUUUUUCCUAAAAAAUUAAAGUAAUAUAAAAGGUCAGAGCGGAGGACAAAAUAUCCCCCACAACAAUUUCAGGGGUAUAAACGUAAUUUUACGUAAACCACCAAGUUGCGUCCGCGCACCGCAUCUUCACCACUCAAUAGUGGCACUUCUGUAAUUAAGUGCAAGACUAUGUACGGACGUAGGUAACACCUCUAACAACCCUGGCCACAAAGACGAAAAUACCCCUCCUCUCCUCCCCUAUAUAAACACCCCUUCGCCACCAACAACGCCUCCUCCGCUACGUUCUUCAACUUCGAGAUCUCCGGCGAGCACUCCAUGGAGGACCCCUCGUCGUUCUCCGCCGCCGCCGCCGCCCCCCACGCCGCGAUCCCCUACGUCCGAGUCUCCGCCUCCUUCUCCAUCUCCGGCCCCGCUCCCUCCGCGACCGCCGGACCCGACGACCGCGCCGCCGCCGCCGCCGAGAUGGAGAAGAUGCUGGGGGAAGCCGCGGCGAGCCUCGCCCGCAGCGGCCGCUACAUCGUGACCGCAGCGGCGAUCCGCGCCCACCUCGACGAGCUCGCGCCCCUCCGCAAGAUGACGAUCCUCGCCCCCGACGACCGGGCCAUCGCCGACGCCCUCUACUACGAGUCCCCGCCCCGAUUCCACCUCCACAUCGUCCCCGAUCGCCUCCUCACCUACGCCGACCUCCGCCGCCUCCCAGUCGGCGCCGAGCUCCCCACGCUCGAUCCCGGGGAGAGCCUCGUCCUCACCAGCAACGGCGAAGGCAAAGGAGCCCCGGACAUCGUCCGAUUAAACUUCGUCAGCAUCAAUGCCCCCGAUCUCAUCAUAGGCUCCAGGAUCGCCGUCCACGGGGUCCGCCUCCCGAUCUGGGAGUUCGAUCUCUGGGAUCUACGUCCUUCGCCGCCGCCAUCGUCGACAUCCUCGCCGUCCUCACUGGAGGCGCCGAUCUGAAGCUAGCUUCGUCGGAUCAAGCGGUGGGAGCGCGAGGCCGAUGCUCGAUCUCGGCCAGAGAUCGCACGGUCGAACGUAGUCUGAGGUGAGAUCGAUCUCUCUGCAUUGCUGCUACACUAUAUCACCUACCUAAUCGUACUACUACCGAGUUUUAUUCUCGUCUUUUUUUCUUUAUUUUCCCUGAUUUUUCCUGCUUUUUCCCCCCCUUUUUUGGCUCGAUUAAUUCUUGAUCUGAUCAAAAUAGUUCUACGGUGUCGAAUUAAUUGUCAUGGUGAUUGAUACUGUUUCCAUGCUUACGAUAAUAGUAAGGGAUUUCCUCUUCUUCUUCUUCUUCUUUUUCCUAUUUUGGCUAUCAGUGGUAGUUAGUACUAAUUUGGUUGUUAAAGAUCGAUUAUGACGUUAGGGUUAAAUUGCAUGUUUGGUCCUCAACCUACAAGCGCAGUGACAUUUUGGUCCUUAGAUUUUAUUUUACGGUAAUUUUUUACUUUUAAACUAUUAUAGUCAAAUCCUAUAACCAAAUUUUUUGAUUAAAUAUUAAUAUAUCUCUAAUAUAGAAAUAAUGUAAUAGUAUUGUGAUGGAUGAUACUGUAUUAUUUUAAUAUCAACACCGCGUUAAAAUUUAAUCAACUAAACUAAAUUGUAGGACUAUUGUAAUAAUGCUAAAAAUUUGUUAACAACUAUCAUAAGAAUUCCAUGCGCAGCAAAGUUCUCAUAAAAUCACAGUAUUCUGUGCGAUUAAAAAAAUUAUCACGAGAUUAAUACGAAUAAAAGAUAGCUUUAGCCAAUAAAAACUUCUGCAAUUUCUUGUGCGCAUCUCAUUUAGAAGGCGCAGCAUUUUCUCUAUCAUAAUUAAAGAGAAUAAAUAACAAGGGCACUUGUCUACGUGCUUUAGCUUAAUUGGCCUGCACUUAGGAGCAGUAGAAUUAUAAUUUGCAAUAACACUCCUUUUUUUCAGUAGUAUGCUCACUUUUUUUUUUUAUUAACUAAAAAAUAAAAAAAGAAUUAGUACAUUGAAAAUAUCCGUGGAGAAGUAGUGGUAGAAUUAGCAUUUUUUUACAGUGAAAGAGUAAUGCCAAAUUUACAAUUCAAAAUAAAUUGUACUUUUUUUUACCAUCCAAACCUGUAGGUUAAUUUUUUUUAACUAAAAAAAUUAGUGAACUCUAAAUAUUAUUUGACGAGGGAAUGUUGGAUUACAAUUUUUUUUUAACUUGGUGGUCGAGUCUAAUUAACCCUAUAAUCAUCACGCAGCGUCACAAAAGCGCAAUGCUCAGCCGAGGGCAAUUUUGUAAUUUCGUCUUUAUUAUCGCCACAGCGAACUCCCCCCUUCUCUCCCUUACGACAACCGUGGCAUUCAUGUAAUUCCAGCAAAACGAGAAGUAAGCCCUCCAGCUCAGGGGCAUUUUAGUAAUUACACUCUCCCACGAACCUUCCCGUAACCACCUCGCUCUGCCUAUAUAUACCCCCACCCACCCCCUUCUCCCCUCUUUAACCCAACGCACCCACACUGCUCUCUCUCUCUCUCUCUCUCUCUCUCUCUCUCUCUCUCACCCAUCCCCAUUCCCAAUCCAAUCUCCGUAGCGAUGAGGUCGAUGCUCGAAUGCGCCAUCACCCUCCUCCGCGGCCGCGGCGGCUACGACAACGUCGCGGAGUCACUUGCCUCCCGCAUCGACGAGCUCGCGAAGAUGCGGCGGAUGACGCUCUUCGCCCCCGACGACCUCUCCGCGCCAACCCCGCUCCACCUCGCGAUCCUCCGCCUCCUCGUCGUCCCCGAUCGCCUCCUCACCCACGCCGACCUCCUCCGCGCGCCGCCGGGGACGGAGCUCCCCUCACUGCAUCCGCGCAAGCGCGUCGCGAUCAAGUGGGGGGGCGCCGGGAUCCGCGCCGGAAGCGGCUUCUUCCGGAUCAGGGAGCCCGAUCUCGCCAUCAUCGACGAGAGGAUCGCCAUCCAUGGCGUCGAGCGGUCGUUCCUCUCCCACGUGCCGCCGAUGCUCCUGCUCGAGUCGCCACUGCCGGGGUGGGAGGCUGCGGAGGGCCGCGGGGUUUGCGGCGCCGCCGACGCCAUGCAGUGGAUCGAAGCCCCGGGGAGGGCGGCAACGAUCGAUCUCGACGACAACGACGCCCCGUAGUGCGUACGAGGUGAGAUCUACGUACUAUUUCUUUCCUAUCCUAGUACAAUCGUACUCUUCCUCCUCUUUUUUUUUUUUCUUUUUUUUUUUUUUUGUUUUUUCCUUCUUCUUUUGCGAUACUCAAACAAACGGAUGAAAUGGACGGUGGGAUGAUGAUGAGAUGACACUGUAACUCUCUAGUCUCUACUGCAGCACCACUACGAGAUUCAAAAAGUAUACCACGCUCGAUCCGUUUUUGACGGGUAAUCAUAUGGUAAUAAUAAAAUUUGAAAUGCAGUGGAAGAAUUACAAGUUGUGGAUAAGAAACUUAGUUUCAGUACACCAUAAUAGAUCUUGAUUCGGAUCUGAUCGAGCUAGUACUUAGUUUAUUAGAUUAUUAUUACUAUUAUAGUUAUUAUAAACCUUGCAAAGCAUAUAUAAGACCCUUUGCUAUUCCUCAGCAUCGCAGCAGAGAAAACCGAAAUGAUUUCCCAUUUUUAGCUUUAAUUUAAACUACCUUUCAUCAAAACUUAAGUUCCAAUAUGAUGUAACAACCUUUUAAUCCCACUCAAACCCAGACCAGUUGCUUAUUAGAGUUCAUAAAAUUAAACCGUAUUGGUAGGACGCGUGUUAGCAAAUUUAAUUAAGUUUACACCAACAUGAUUCCAACGUUAAAUUAAUAAAAAAUAAAAGAAAUAUUCAUAAUCUUGCCUCCAUCAGCAGCUUUCUCUACCAGUGGCAUUCUCGUAAAUCCAUCUCAUUAUUACCACGUCGCAUUGCACCACAGUGGCAUUCAUGUAAUUCCUGCCAAAAAAAAAACGUUAGUGGUUCUGAGGGGCAUUUUCGUAAUUACAUUGGGCGGUCGCAACAACCUCAUAACCGCCUCGCACGAACCCUCCCUAUAAAUCCCGCCCCACUCCCUCACUCCAUAUCCACUCCACUUCCCCUCUCUUUCUCUCUCUCUCUCUCUCUAGAAUUAUCCAACAACAAUGGCUUACUCUUUCCUCUACGCCCACAUCUACUUCACCCCCAUUCUCCUCCUCCUCCUCCUCCUCCUCGUCUCCUCCUCGUCUCCUCCUCCUCCUCCUCCUCUCGCCACCACAUGCGUCGUCAUCGAGGAGUUCCCCGACGGCCACUUCAACGUCUACAGCAACGAGUGCCGCGGCGAGAGCCCCUACUGCCUCUUCUCCUGCAUCCAACGCCAACAACAUCGCCUCCGAUCCCCCCUCUCCUCCGCCUACUCCUCCUCUGCCGCCGCCACCUCUUCGUGCUUCUUCAUCCGAUUCUUCGACAGCGGCCUCUCCACUGUCGGCCGCAUCAACUGCUCCGACCUCGACUACUGCUCCCUCUCCUGCCUCGGCACCGGGGAUCUGGCCACCGCGGGGGCGGAUCGGAGCUGCACCGAUCUCGCCAUCGACCUCCCCGUGUUCGAUUGGGAUUUGGGAGGAGGAGGAGGAGGAGAGGUGGAGUCGGCGGAGACGGCGAAGUGCGAGGGCGAAUCGAUCCCGGCAAUGGCCAAGUACGACGAGAUGUAGUGCUCUCUCUCUCUCUCUAUCUCUCCGUCUCGUUUUUUUUUUUUUUUGGGUAUUCUACGGAGGAGGAUUGCAUGCGUACGGAGAAACGUACGACACCAGUUCAAAAAAAGAGAAUGAAAGGAUUUAAUCUUUUUGCUUGUUCAUUGGUCCACGUGGCAUUUCACUUUACAGUGGCAUCCACGUAAUUUCACAAGAGAGAAUAAUUGUAUGACGAACGCGAUAACUAAUUGUACGUACCCUCUUCCCCACGUCAUAAAUAUUGUUGUACUAGACUAGUAACGCUACAGCUGCUAGGGUGCAUGUGAUGACGUGGUGCACCCGGUUCAGGGUCGUAAUCGCCCACCUCUCUCUCUCUCUCUCGAUUGAAGCUUCUAUUACUUCAUCAAUGGCGAUCUCCUCCUCUAUUGCUCUCCUCCUCUCCCUCUCCGCCGUCUCCUCCACCGCCUCCGACUCCUACUACUACUGCUACGUUUGCCGCGGCCGCAACCCCGUCGCGCGCACGCGGUGCCCGGUCGAGCUCCCCCGCUGCGACCUCAUCUGCUCCGCCUCCGACCUCUCCUCCUCCUCCUCCUCCUUCGCCGGCGAUCUCCGCCGCGGCGACGGCGGCUGCGGCGCCGAGUGCUACAUCAUGCAGCUGUACCACGACGGUAGCUACACCAUCCGCUACGUCGACUGCUCCGUCGUCCCCUACUGCAGGCUCCUCUGCAAGGAGAGCCUCCCCGCGCCAUGCAGCGCCCGAUCAUCCGAGAUGCCGAUCGAACCUCGUGGAGGCCUCGAUCGUUUCCCGCGAUGCGGCGACCAAAUCGCAAAUAUUGUGGUGGCGGAAUAAGGCAGGAACGAUAGGGAUUGAUCAGGUGAUGUGCUUUGAGAUUCGCGCAGACACGCCGAUAUCACCGUCUUGUUUUGUUGUUACACACUGUCACGUUGAGGAGCGGAAAUGAGUUUCAAAUAAUAACUAGAAAUUUAAUCACCUGUAAUAUAAGUGUGAAAUGGUGAACAUUAGCUGAAUUUGGAUAAGUGAUCAUGAGGUUUGAAAAGGAACGAUCUGUGUGUCAAAAAUCAUAAAAAAAUCUGAGGUAUCUCUAUAUAAGAAAUUGUAAGUUUAAAAAUCAUAUUAUUUUGGUAAUAACUUGUCCCCCAAAAAAAAUAAUCAAUAAUAUUAAAAGAGACACCGACCGUCCCUAAAAUAAGUAGCAAAAGGCUUGGUGGUUGAUAUCCGAGCUCUUAAGUUCGAAUCCUAGUUUAUUCACAUUUCUAGCUAAGCUUAUUUCUAAAUAAAAUAAACGAAACGGGUAGCGUGCUACCUAUCUCUCAAAAUAAAAAAAUUAAAAGAGACACUGGUUGAUAGAUAAAACGUAAGUUUCCAAAUCCUCUUAUAUAAAACUAUUAAAAAUAUCAUAAAGAUUUCUAAAAGAAUUAGAUUAUAAUUUUAAAAUUUUAUAAAAUAUUUAAAACGAGAAGUAGAAUAUAUACACGAAUGUUGCAGAGCACCUAGUCCACCACGUGCAUCAUCACAGUGAUCUACGCUCAUCCAUCCCUUCGUUUUCGAUCAUCAACUCUUUAAAUGGAAAUAAAUAAAUAAAUAAAUCCAGCAACUCAGCAACACGGUCUAUGAUGACGUGGUGGAUCAUUUCCAAAGCAAAAAGCUCUCUAACACCACACACGUUCCGACGUAGCAGGCGAGUUCGCGCGCAGUGGCAUUUCUGCAAUAUUGAACAAAACGAGGCCUUUUAAUUUAGAGUGGCAUGUCCGUAAUUAUUCCGAAACGAAUCAGUACGGACACCUUAAUCCUCCGUAACUAACCCCUCGGCCCACUCGAAGGUUCUAGACGCCUAUAUAUAGGGCACACCCCCCCCCCAUUCAGCUCCCCUCCUAUUCCCCUCUGUCGUCCUCUCUCUCUCUCUCUCUCUCUCUCUCUCUCUCUCUCUCUCUCAUGGAUCUCUCCUCCCUCCUCCUCCUCCUCCUCCUCCUCCUCUCCUCUUCCCUUCUCCUCUCCUCCGCCGCCGCCGCCUCCGCCGCUGCAGUUCCCGGCGGCGCCUCUCCCACCUCCGCUCCGUUUCCCCUCUACUACACGUGCUACCUCUACCGCCUCAUCGACGACGACGUCCGCGUCCUCGUCGACCUCACCCGGUGCGAGGACGACGAAUCCCCCUACUGCGCCCUCAUCUGCCCCGGGGCGGACCCCUCUCCGCCGCGGCCGCCGCCGCCGCCUCCCGAUUCCCCGAUCAUCCCCUCCGGCGCCGGCGCCGACGACAUGGUCUGCUACAUUGUCCAGAUGUACGACAUCUCCCGCUACGACAGCUUCUUCGUCGACUGCUCCCUCAUCGGCCGCUGCUCCCUCGGGUGCUCAUCGCAGCCCCCUCCCUUUCCGCCUCCCCUGCCGCCGCGAGAAGGAGAGGAGGGCUCGGAUCUCCGCGGAUCUAGGGUUUCGCGGGGGGACCGAUUGUUCGUUGAGUGUACUCCCCCCGACGAUCCGGGGGCUAGGGUUUCGACGGCGGCGGCGGAGGGAGAGAUCUACGACGCGACGGAGCUUUUGGUCGAUGAGAUGUGAUAAUGUGGAGGCGAACCUCUAGCUAGGGUGAGAGAUCUACGCGUCUAUUAAUUGCAUGCCCUUUUCUAUUAUUCUCGUUUCCGUUUUUGAUUCGCUUCUUUCUUGUGCGUCAAAGAGGCCUAGGGUUCGGAUCAGUGCACUGUGGACUAUUAUAAGCCUCCUCCCAUUGCAGGUUCGGAGUGGUACGUUCACAAGUUUUCAUCAGAUAUUAUAGAACAAUUUGGAAAGCUCCCAGGUAUAUACUCUCUCUCUCUCUCUCUCUCUAUCUCGCUCUCUCUAUUUGUUUGGUUUACGGCGUAAUUUUGGCGAUAUACAAAAAGUGAUAGAAUUCAAAUUCUUUGCUGCAUUAAUCCUCCACUUCUUUGGUUAGAAAUUUUCUCGUGGACCAAGUCCACCACAGCAAUGUUCUUAAUCCUAAAUGCCCUAACCAUUAAUAUUCUAAUUGUAAUUGGUAAGACGCAUAUCGGUGGAGUAUGGGGGAUCAUUGAUAAGGGAGGUGAAGUAGGAGGCCAUAGGUUAGAAUCUCACCCGUGAAGGACUCUAAUAAAUAAAUAGAAUUGUAGAGAAUUAAGCUCAUCAUUUUUUUUAUUAAGAAAUAGAAAAGAAAAAAAAAAUCAUUAGAGCUGAUUUGCAAUCAAAAUAGUCCCGUAUAUUUAGAUGUAAUAUCUUUUAACAAAUUAAGAGAAAUAAUUUGGGCCAUUCGCUACGUGUCUCAAAUUAUAUUUUCGAUUAGUUAGCUUACGUAUGUAGAGAUUUGUGGUUAUGAUUUAAAGUUUAAUGAUGUAUAUAAUAUAACUAGGGUUAGAAUUUAAUAAUGAUGAUGCCAGUACCCCGACAACAUAAUGAGAACGUACACCGGGAUAUCCGUAGCAUUGUUGAACUUUUAAUAUGCAAGACAAGGUUUUUGUUUUUUUUUUUUAAAUUAUAAUUAAGAUGGAAAACUGGUGCGUGGUCAAGUAUGGUCCAAGCAAUAAAUUUAUUCAUGAUGGUACCUGGCAACAGCUCAUCAGUGUAUGGGUUGUACGUGUCGAAGCUGCAUCCGGAUCCAAUAAGCUACCGGAGCCCUAUUAGUCCAAAAUCGCACUUCAUGUUAAUUUCACUACUCGGAUCCAAAUCCACCUAGUUUCCGCUGAUUUAAAUGUCGCUCCUAACCCAACAAAAUCGCAGUUUCCAUUUGGAUCCAAAGUCCACCUAAUUUCCACUGAUUUAAAUGUGGCUCCUAACCCAACAAAAUUGCAAUUUCCAGUUGCAUACGGGCUCAGCUAGAAGGCUACGUAAGUAAUUAAACGUUCGGAUCCUCCAUUAAUUAAAAUUCAUAAUCCUACGAAUCUUUUCCCCGAAAAUAAAAAAAUUUACUGCAAAUAAUUAAACACUAAAAUCGGCAUCACAGGUAAUUGUACUCGAUCCCGAACAAUUACUUCACACUCUGGUUCAAAACAUCUCCAUCUAAUCCCAGAGGUUAAAUUCAAAAAAACGAGUUAGUCUUCGGCGAAAUUAGGCGUGAUUUUGCUGAUUCUCUUUUUUUUUUUUUUUUUUUUUUUUUUUUUUGGAGAUAGGAUUAGUACACUAGGCGCUUCGUUUAUUUCAUUUAGAAAAAAAACUUAGCUGAAAAUAUGAAUCAACUAGAAUUCGAAUUUAGGAUCUCGGAUACAGGCCAACCAUCAAAUUCUUUGCACUUGCUCUUAGGGACGAUCAGUGUUUUUUUUUUUUUUUUUUUUUUGUGCCAAUUCUCACCCUCUAGAAUUGAGUAUGUCUGUUUUCCCCUAUUUUCGUCCCUCCCUAAAAUGGAGCAGGUGAGGGUCUUCCUCCCAUCCGAAUUUGAAUGGUUGUUUAAACCAAAAAAAAAGAAAAAAAGAAAAAACAGAAAAAGAUUAAAAAACAACAAUUUUUAAUGCAUCAGUGAACAGUAGUUCCGAGCAAAUCAACAAAAAAAAAAAAGAAAAAAAGAAAAAAAAUAUGAUCAGGACUUUUUAUUAAUUACAAGACAUACUUCCGACAGUCUCACCGCCGAAAAAUUUUAGAAUAUAUUAAUUAUAUUAAUAACUGACGUUCCUAACCAAUCAAAUAAUUUUUUUAAAUUUAUUAGUCCCGUCAUAAUUAUAAAAAAAUAUUUUUAUUAUAUUUUUUUUUCAAAUGAAAAGGUAUGAUUAACUUGUUAUUAAUGAUGUGGUACAAAGUAGGAAUCUUUGUGGAAUGCAAUAAAUCUGCAACCAAUUCUGUUUGAUAUCCAUUCCACUAUAAGCAACAAAGAAAGAGGCAAAAAGUACAGUAAGCCAUUAGAAUGGGUCGUUAGCAAUAUAAAGUGGAACAACACUACAUUAAGGCCGCAGCAAUAAUCACAUCAUUUACAAAAGGACAUAGUCCUUCACCCCUCCCAUACAAACACACUUCUAAGUUCAUCUCUAAUUACAUCCUGCACCCAAAAAGAAAGAAAAAAAAAGCAAAAGCAGAAAUAACAAAUUACAUCAUAAAACAACAAAAAAAUUACAACACAAUUCCAAGCAAAUAGAGGGGAACAACUACACUCGGACGUGAGAGUAAGACCACAAGAAGACUACUCUUAAACUUCUUCGGCAAGCACUAGUAGUGGAACUAAUUGUUAAUUAGCGGGAAAAAAUAAUACAGGUUGGUGCACCAGAAUAUUUCAUUUUAUCAUGGUGCAAAAGAAACAAGGGGGAAAAAAAGGACUUCAAAGAGGGUUAAAUAAUCUACAAGGAACAGUGGUUCAUGAUGAUAUUGGCUCGUAAGGGUAGGAGAGCCACGGAUGCUUCAGUGCUUCAGAUGCACUCGGUCGCUUCUUAGGGUUGAUCUCGAGAAGGUAAGUGACAAAGUCUAUAAACCCUUGGUCACCCAUCGGCAAGCGGUGCUGUAGUGACGUCUUUUUCGGCAUCAAGUACUCGAGCCUGUUCGUUUCCUGAAAUAGAUAUUAGUUCAAGUAAAACUUUAUGCCAUACCAACUGUGAAGAGGCACGAAAGAAGUCUUUUUUUCUUCUCGUUUCUCUUUUCUUUUUUAUGAGAAUGGAAAGAGUAAUUGAACUGAAAGAUAUUUACAGUGCGGCACCAAAAAUAUAAUUAAUUACGCAUGCCCACAAAAUUUUGGGUUUUAACCGACCCCAAGACAUUAAGCAACUGAUCAAAGUGCCCAGGCACAGCUAAAGAAAUCACUUCCAGUAUAACAGCUAAAGAAAACCUCAGACUAACAAUAGUACAAAAUAGAUCAACUAACGGAAAACAACGGCAUUAGACACUAGUUUAAUUAAACAGAAGUUCAAAGUCAAAUUGCUGAACAGCAUUGGCAAUGUUAUUAGAGGCACAAAAAAUUUGAAAAAUGAAGCAAGAUUCUUAAAAUGACCGAAGUAUAUGAGAAAAUGUAGAAAUGUUUUCCCAAAGACUUAACAGUUUCACAUUAACAGAUAACUGAUCAGAAAUCAAAAACAUUCUGGAGGCUCCUAAGUGAUCCAAAGUAUAGCCAGCCUAAUCUGUCUAAACAGUUCUGCUUUGUAAAAAAUUCAGCCCAAACUGAACAUGUCUGUGCACUUCCAUUGCGUCUAACAUAUAAAUGCUCAAGGGAAACAGAAAAUAUCAAAGGCCAAACCUGAUUUCUUUCGUACAGUAUGUGGUUCUUCGUAAAACAUUUGUAGGUAUCUCGUCCCUCGGCAAGCAUACCUUGCUCAAUGGGGCCUAUGAUUCCAAUUACACGUGCCAGUAGAGUUGCAGGAGAAUCAUUUUGGAAAAGAACCUGCGGGAAGUACAAAGAAUUACUUCAAAGUACAUGAAGAGCAACUUGUCCUUCUGCUUCUUUGGGCCUAGGCUUUUCUAGUCGGUUCAUGGAAAAGAGUACAAUGGCACUCAACUUCCAUUAAUAAACAUUUGACCUCCACUACAAUUAAAAAAAAAAAAGAAGAAAAAAAAAAAGCUUAGUAUUGUGCCUUGAAGAGACAUCUCAUUGUUGGAAGUAAUGUCUCCAAACCCUGGAAAAAAGGAGGAUUGAAGGGAGGAUUUUUUUUUUUUUUGUUUUGCUUUGUUUUGUUUCGUUUUGUUUUUUAGAGCAAGUUCAUAGCAAUUCAUUCAUUCAUCACUACAGAUAGAGAUGCAUCACUAAAUGCAGAGAUAAAUCCUUGAUACAAAUGUGAAAAAUGAGGAGUUGGGUAAUAUUACCUUAUUUGUCAAGAGCAGGAAAGAGUUAAAAGAGUCGUCAAAGAAUAGCUUUGAGUAUUUAAUAAUCUCAUUUCCCCGUUUUACUAAAAUGACCUAUAAAUGCCAAUCUACACUUUCUUGAAUAUCUAACUAAAUCAGGGGACACUUAAGAAAAGAUCGAAUUUAAAUGUCAUGUUCUAGUGGUCUACUAAUAACAUUUUAUGGACCUUGCCCUAACCAACCAUUAAUCUAAAUAGGAUCAUAUAUUCGUAUAUAGCAUACGGAAACCCUCCUUUUAUUGUAUCGGAAGUUCCAAUUCACAUUUUGUAGUCCAGAAAUGUAAAUCAGCAAAUAUGCCCAUAAAAUAAAGGGGAUACAGUAACAAACCAACCAGCAAUUACAAAUACUAUUUGCAUAAUUAGAGAUCUCAUGGUGCACUCUUUUAAUUGCAGUAUACACCUAGAAGUGCUCUUAGGGCAUGUUUGGUUCAUGAUUGGAAUAGAAAUGGAAAAUGGAAUAAUGAAUCAUAAAAAAUUGUUUGGUUCAUUAUUGGAAUGAAAAUCGGAAUAAAAAUUUAGAAUUUUUGAGAGAGCGUUUUGAUGAAGAGAGAGGAAAGUGAUGACGGGAGAGAAGGUAGCUGUUGGUGAAAGAGGAUUUUGAAUAGUUUACUUUGGAAUAGGCAAAUCCGGGAUUCAAAGCUGGAUUGGGCCAUAAAUGGAUUUGGCCAUUCCCAUUCCGGAAUGAAAUGGGAACCGGAAUCCGAUUCCUAUAAACCAAACGACAACUAUCGGAAUCAAUUAAUUCCAUUCCGAUUCCAUAAUCUAAAAUAGGUGAACCAAACAUGCCCUUAAAGUAGUACGCAACCAAGUCUAUACCACCAAUUGCUUCAUUAUUACAGCUCGCAUCUACAAGAUUGUCCAUGUAUCAGCAUGUUGCAGGAAGGAUGCUCUUUUACUCUAUCAAGUAAAAGAGCCACUUCUUACCUUCCACUGGACCAAUAUGACUCAAACAAACAGAUCAAAAGAAGUAAUGCAUUCAUCCCACCACAUCACUAGAAACGAUUUGAUAAUUAUUCUAAAUUGCCCUGAAAUUUGUAAGAAAUUCCAAAAAUCUACACAGAAAGAAUUAAAAAGAAAAAAACAGUAACUUACAUUUCCAGUGCAAAGUUCAGCCAGGAUGCAUCCAAGUGACCAUAUAUCGAUCUUUUUAUCAUAUGGGAGGCCCAAAAUAACCUCGGGUGCACGAUAAGAUCGCGACUGUACAUAAGAACAUAAAUGAUCUGUUUCAAAGCAGCUACUUCCAAGGUCGAUGACCUUCACUUCGCACCUACUGUAGCUCUUUACCAAAAUAUUUUCCGGCUUUAAAUCACAAUGAAUAAGACCGAGUCCAUGAAGAAACUGAAGUGCUUCCAGACACUGAAUAGUGAUUGACUGCAAAAUUGAAAUAUGAGGAGCAAUUAACAGUUAGGCACUAAUCAUGGAAGAAAGGUAUUGGGAUACUUAGAAAUAAAAAGCUACCUAUGUUUCUCCAAAAUAGCAAACUACCCAACAUAGAUAUUGGGGUAUUUUAGUAAGAGAUGCAAUAUGGAGGUUUCUAUGAAGAUUCAGAUUUUACAGGGGCAUAUAAAUAAAUUGAUGAUUUGUCGGCAUACACAUGUAAAAGCAACAAAAACAUUUUAAGCGAUAAAAUCAUGAAGUUAGGCAAUAGGGUUUGUGUAAACCAACCUGCAACCUUGGCAUUGUGAAGUAAACCUCCCCUCCAGAUUCUCUAUUGAAUUUGUGAAAUUCAUAUAAAUUUGCCUUGAGAAGCUCGCAAACAAUUAGUAAGUGUUCCUGCAAAAGCCAACUUCAUCAAUUAAACAGCAACAAUCUUGCAUGUGUAACAAAGAAAAUUGGCCCCAGGUAUAAAGUAUGGAGAGAAGCACAACAAUUCAAGGAGGGAUUCCCCUCAUCAUUUUCUAUCGACAUGCCCUGUUGUAACCUCAUCUUCCAAAUAGCACUAGCUCUAAAUAUAUUUUACAUCUCCCAAUCACUAGAUUUACUUUUGUGACGCUCCAAUAGUCCCCACAUCGAAUGGAAAGGGAAUUAUGACUGAAAAUAUAAGGACCAGGGACUAUAGUAUUAAUAACUAGAUUUAAGCAUUUUGGGCCGGUGGUUUAGAGCCCAAUGAGUUAUUAGCGCUAGUGGGCUGAGUCAUUACAACUUUAAGCGAAUUCAUGACAUAAGAUCAAUUUAAGGGUAAUCAAAAACCCUGGGAAUUGACUUUUUAUUUAAAUUAUCUGUGUGCAUCUUUCGCUGCAUGUGGUUUUUACUUCUUUAUUAUUUUUGAAUGUUGUUAAUGGAAUUGCGCAUAUGUUUGCUUAGAGAAAUGAUUGAGGGAACCAGAGGCAGUAGGAAAGAAGAUUUCCCCUGCAACAUGAGCCCUAAUAGACUAAUACUGAAACAAGAUAUAGCUCCUCUCCUCCUUCCACUUGCAAAUUAAUUAGAUUAUUUUAAUAGUAGCCAAUCCUCCAAUCAACUUUUUCUUGUAGUUAUCGAACAUGUCAAAUGCUUGAAAAUAUGUGUGUGUGUGUGUGUGUGUGUGUGUGUGUGUGAACGACCUUAAUAACUAUCAGGCAAGUGCACCAUCUAGAGAAGAGUAUAGAAAACAAUACCAACCAUUACCUAUAAUCAGAGAAAGAAAACCAUUACCCAUAAUCAGAGAGAAAAUUUAUAAUAGCAGCCAAAAGGAUUGGUAUCAAAGUUCAAACUUACCCGGUAGUAGAAGUAGUCGUACAAGCGCAGGAUAUGAUAUUUGUCCCCGGGAUCAUGCUUGUUCACAUACUUUAAAAGUUUGAUCUCAUCAAGGCUCUGAUCAAAAAAAUCUUUGUUGUUCUUUAUUAUCUUGAUGCAUACAUCCACGCCAGUGUGCAAGUCAUGCGCUUGAAUGGCCUUGCUGAAUGCAGCUGAGCCAAGGUACUCAGUGACGUGAUAACGUCCAGCUAUCACUGAAUUUGGCAUGACGUGAAAAUUUUUGUCUUCCUCAAACCCAGUUCUGUUAAGUUAACACACACAAAUAGAGGAGGGAGUAAAAACAUCAGACAUCAUAACAAGAGUAUUUUCCAAAAAGAAUGAUAAAUAAAUAACAAAAAAUGUAUUUCACAAAAUAACAAACAGGAAAAAGUUACUAGCAUAAACAAGAGGAGAAAUUAUCGAGCGCAACAGGUGCACCACCUAAGCGAGCGCGCCGCCCAGUGAUCAGCACUCCAUUCUUCUCUUACUUCCGUCCCCAUUGUCCAAUGCAUUGCAGACCAUAAUUAAUUUAAAAAGCAUUUUCUUUUAUAUUGUCCAAUUACAAGUAUGAGAUAAGAUGGAGGGCAAAUGCUGAGUGGUGGAGACGAUAACAUCUCAAACACUAAUGGUUCAGAUUGAGGAAAACAUCAGCACAAAAGGCAAUUAACACAUACAUUCAUUAAUCAGUUAACGCAUACCAUAAUGAAAUAUACAUCUAAAUGAACAAACCUGUUUUUUCUGUGCACAAUCUUAAGUUCAAAGGUCUCGAACUCCUCUUCCUGAGCUUGUAUCUGUCUCACUUGUUCCUGCAACGCUGCCAGUUCUUCAUCCUCUAGAGUGGACGCUGGAUCUUCUUCUUGUUGAUUAUUUACUUCAUGAUCAUUUAACUUGUUGAUAUCCCCUGUUAAAGCAUAACUGUAGUUUGAUGCCGAUGAAGCAGUUGAGUCCCUCGAUCUAAUAAUAUCAGAACUCUUUUCAUCACCAAUUUUUAGGCCAUUAUCAUAUUCUAUAGAAUCAUCAUCAAUAACAGUACUGCCCCUGUUUGACCGUAUAGGUCUACCGGAGCUAGCCUCCAUCACAUCUUCAGUGCUAAUCGGUGAUGGAAAAGAAAAUACAGCCUUCUCAAAAGCCAUUGUGUUAUUUCUAUGAUCAGGUUUUAUUCCCUUCAUAUUAUCACUUGAAUUUCUUUUCGCAAUGAUACCAACAUCGUGAUCAUGAAAAUACUCCAAGUCCCCUUCACUACUUCCUCCAACCAAGCUUUCACGCACUUCACUGCCUAUAUCAGCAGCAUCGCUGCUUAUUCCCACGCCAAUCGAUCUGACUGAGCCAUGAUGAUCAUCUUCCACAAAGGUCUCAUCAGGUCGCGCUUUGCCAUUUCCUAGCAUAACAAGUUCAUUAUUUUGAGUGACGAAACCCCGCCAAACCGGUUCACCACGCAUCAAUUUUAGCUCUUCAGCAUCCAUAAGCUCCCCGUCAUACUGAGCUAUCAAAUCAUUUUCACUCGUCCUAAGUCCCAUCGACCCCUUUGAAGAGGCCACACGGUCAAUAUUCUUUGCCUGGAAAUAUUGCUCGCCUGACAAGCAAGAAUCUUCUUCUUCUUCUUCUUCUUCUGCAAAAGAAUGAUCAUCAUCAUCAUCAUCAUCAUCAUCAUCAUCCUUCAUGGGGGGACGGUCUGGUUGGUCUAGGGCACUCCCUGGACCAGGUCCACCAUUUCCCUUCUCAUUGUCGCUCGGAUAGUCAAUCUCGUGUGCUAGAAACCAGGCUUCGUCCUCAAUUGGUUGCCGUGUGUAACCCACAUCAUCGUCAUCAUCGUACUCGUCGGAAUCCCAAUAAUCAUUCGGAUAGUCGAGUGACUCAUCACCAACAGCAGCAAAGCCAGAUACUAGAUCAGAAGAAUCCUCAGCAAUGCCUUGGCUAACAGAAAGCCAACUAUUUCCAAUUGUUCUCUUCCCACCUGCAAUUAAAGUCGUUGGGUUUCUGGUUAAAAUACAAAUAAAAUAAAUGCAAAUGAAAAAGAAAAAUAACAGGACUAUGAUGCACCAUAAAACAGUGUAACAGUGGCACCCCCAAGACUAAUUGACAGUGUAAUGAAUAUCACACAUGAAAGGAAGGAACAGCUAGCCAGCGAAAGCGCAGAAAAAUUCAUUUAUUUUCGAGUGAUUCAGGGCAAAUCAUUCGGUUAUAACAUGUAAAUAAGUCUGAGUAUAUACAAAAGACCAUCGUUAUAUGAUUCCUCGAGACAAAACAAGACGGACCCAAAAUGCGGGUCAAUUGCGGGCUCACCAACAUGCAUUGGGUAGCAACGAAAGAAAAAAAAAAUGGAAAAAAGAAAUACGACAACACAACUUGUAUCUACAGAACCAAGGAUUUAAGUGUCGUGGCACGAGAUCGUGCCGGAAACUUGCCGGCACGGUACGACACGGUGCGUGCCAAGCCGUGCCGAUCAAAAAAAUUCUUGUGUGCCGACACAUAAUAGCAUGAAAUAUUUAUUUUCUUUAGCAACAAAAUAUUCUAACUAUUUAUUAUUUUUUUAUCACAUCUUUUGAACUUUAUCGAGGAAAUUACUUACUAAUUUAAAGAAUAGAGGAUUUUGAGCUGUGCCAUCGGCACGGGGUCUAUAUCGUGUUGGUAUCUUGUUGGCACGGUACGACACGGUGAAUACGGCCCGUGCCAACACGUACUUAAAACCUUGUACAGAACAAUGCAUUCUCUUUGGAUCAAUCCAUGGGUGGCCCAAUAGACCGGACGUAUUUAAUAUUUUCCAUAAGUAGUUAAAAGCAUGAAACAAAACAAAUAAUAACUUCUACGAAUUCCGCGUACCUGAGGAGCUGAUCUCUUGCCCAACAGGGACAUCAAGAAAAGACCCAAUCAAACAGCCGUUGUCUCCGUUCGCUAUCCUUGGCCCCAACACAUGACUCUUUUCCUCCCAAUUCGUAUUAGCUAACUUUUCUUCGGACUUAAGCUUUACAGGAGGCAGUCUCGGCAGCUCUUCCCUUUGUUUCUCACCGAUCGGAGGUAAAUCCAAUUUCUUAUCACUAGUUUUCAGAUCCGCACUUUCACAAAGCUGCUCCUUCGUUUCAAUAGCUUCAUAAUCCCUCUUCAUCUCUCCGCCGCCAUUCCCAUUACCAACAGAACCGUCGUAACUGCACGAGGCAUUGUCGCCAGGAAAUGGGAAAAGCGUCUUCACUGAACACCCCUUCGGCGGUUCAUCGUGCUCCAACCAAAGGUUGUCUGGAAAAUAGCUUUUCGGAUUAGCAUCGCUAACCCUAAAUCCGGAAUUUUGGCUCGUAUCCGGUCUCUCUUCGACAUCCAAUUUUCCUUUCCCACUUCCACCAGAUCCAUUUCCCGCAGCAGAAUCCCUCUUUUCCGCCAUCAAUGAUUUGCCUCGAUGCUUGGGCUCCCCUGAUAUAAAAAUUUCCGCGAAUUUCUCUGCAAUGCUACCGCUCUCCUUCGAAAAGGAGACGGAAUUACUAUUACUAUUCUCUGCAUUGGGGUUCAGAGGGUACAGGUCUCCGGAUCGAUUCUCUCGAAGUUGACUACAACCAAAACCGUUCGCAACUUCGCUCCCGUUCUCGACGCCCCCGACUCCAAUCUCCUUCACAAUGAACUCUUUCAAGAACCCCGCGCUCCACAAUUCCGCAUCUCUCCCUCUCGAAUCCCUUGCUUCCGCAAGGUUAUUCUCAAGUAGCCCAUUCGAAUCCGAUCGGCCGUUCAGCUCCCUGCGAAGCGCGGCCUCGGCCUUGGCGAAUCGGUUCUUCUUCAAGAACUCCAAAACCACAUCAACCGAGUCCACCAUCUUUCCCCUCAAGAGAACAGAACCCAAAUUGCUACGGCAAAGCAGGAGGAAAAAACCCUGCAGAUUAACACCAAGAUGACGAGUUCACGCGCUAUUCGAUCUCAUUCCUUCCUGAAGCUUCGUUUUCGACUCGACAAAAAGAAUACACAGGAAUGUGACUAGAUGAACAAACCCUAACCCGACCACGAACCCUAACCCUAACUCUAGCAUUAUCAAAAUUUCGAGGGCUGGACGAAACCCUAGCCCUCGAAACCGAAUCCGAAGAGAGAGAGAGAGAGAGAGAGAGAGAGAGAGAGAGAGAGAAUAAGGAGGAGGAGGAGGAGGAGGUCGAAGGGUUCACCGAUCUCGCGGAGGAGGAGGAGGAGGAGGAGCGAGCCCACGGCGCUCUACGGCGGCGGCGGAGGAGGAGGCGCUAGGGAUUUGGGGCACGGAUCUCGAGGCGGAGGCGGAGGCGGAGGCGGAGGCGGAGGAGGGAGGUGGAGCUCGACGCCAUUAAUGGCGAAGGAGGAGGCGGAGGAGGAGGGAGGAGCGGCGACAUGACGACGACGACGACGACGAGGACGACGACGACGACCACGUCAUCUCGUUACCACACAGGAUUAUUACAGGUGAGGAACCGGUCGGAAAUAUUCGCGUCCGAGGAGAAAUAAUAAUAAUAAUAAUAAUAAUAAUAAUAAUAAUAAAAAUAAAAUUUAUUUAUUUAUAUACUAAAAUUGAGUGGAGAUCAAAUUAAACUCCAAUUGUGGACGUCUUUUUUUUUUAGAGUUUAUGAAUUGUUGAUUUUGAUAUUGCUUGGUGCUUAGAAUAUCGAUUUUCAAAAUUAAACUUUAAUUAGAACCUUUUAUUAAAGUUUUUUUUUUAGGAUUUCGCACUAACUUAUAGCCUCUCUUUUUUUUUGUCGUGAGUAUUAAUUUUUUGAGUGUUUAAUUAGUAUCAAAAUUAUAGAUUUUUUAGAGGUUGUAAUUAAUGUUUACAACCUUCUAAUUUGGAUUGAGUUUCCAAGGUUUGGAGAUUGUAUGGUAAUUUUCUUUCUAAGAAAUGUAUAUUUGAAUUCAUAAAAAAAUUAUAAAAAUAUCAUACUCAUACGCUCUAAACAUAUAAAUUUAUCAUUCAUAUUCCUCUAAAAAUAUAAAUAUAUGGUAACAAAUACCUUUCUAAACCCUUCAAUGUAUAUAAGUACACCAAUAAUACUCAAAAGGCUAUUCAUAAAAUUCCGAACUUUCAUAAAGGCAUUGAAGAAAUUAAUCCUAAAGUUAAAAUGUACUGGCAAGGAAAAAUACUUAUUAUACACUCUAAAAAAAAAAUUAAAAAGUAUAUCUUACACCCGUAAUUUUAGAAUUGAAAAAAAUAAAAUUAAUUUUUUUAAAAAAUUUAAAAAAUUAAUAUGAUAAAAAUGAUCCUAGAAUAAAGUGAAUGUAAAAAAUAUAUUCUACUUUAUGAUGUACUAUUAUUCUUCUUAUUCCAAUCUAACUAUUUAAAUAUUAUGCAUCUUAUUUUUAGAAACAACUCAAUUUUUAUCCAAACGUUAAAUUGAUCUAAUUUUUAUUUAUAUCUUAUACCAAUUUCUGAAAUAAACAGUUUUUAUUUAUAUCCGAAUCAAACACAGCCAAAAGUGUAUUGGCAAAUAAUAAGUCUCGCAUUAUGCCCGUGUGGCGAACGGUGCAAAAGAGCAAAGUCAUUGGGGGACGGACCAAUGAACACGAAUGUUUGGAGAUGAUCACGAUUUGCUAGUUCAUUGGGUCCCACAUGAGCCCCACAUGCAUGUUAUGUUCUUUUCACGCAAUAGCGAGUUCGCGUACGGAUCCAACUCACGGCGUGUAAACGGUUUGGAUUCGGGAUGAAUUUUUAAAAAUUACAAUCCAAAUCCCACCAUUAAACAUGAAAUUUGAAUCCGAAUUUAAAUCUGAGGAAUUGUAAAAAUUAAAAAAAUUUUGAAACUCGAAACCAAAUCUAAAAUAAUUAUUUUUCUUUACCAUAGCUUUAAAAUUAUAUCACAUUAAAUAUAAAUUUUUAAAAUACAAAUUUAAAUAUUUAUAUAUAUUAUAUAAUGUAAGCUUAAUUCGGGUUCAAGUUGAGUUCUGGUCGGGUUCAAGUACGGAUCGAGUAUAGGUAAAAUUCAUAUCUGAAUUCAAAUUGGUCGGAUUUCGUUCUUUAUAUUCAUAUUUGAAACUAUAUCCGUUUAGUAUCAAAUAAAUUUUGUUCGAAUUCAAAUAAAAUUUCGGAUAUCUGUACUUAUUGACAUCCCUAAUCAUGUGCCGAGAGGGUGAUUUAAGGUCCAUUCUACAACUAGAAAUUUAGAACUCUGCUACUUCAUUGGGUUAGUUUUGUAAAUACCAAACAUGCCAUAUUGCAGGAGAUUUUUAUUGACUUAAAUGGACCAGUAUUCUGCCCUGUGGUGGAAAAUCAGAUUAGACUAAGUCAAAUUUGAAAUUUUAUGAGGCUGAGUUGGGCCGAGUCAUGUUUGAAAUGGCGUGAGACUGGUUGGGCUGAGUCGUAAUGGAAAUCCAUUGGCGCUGUAUCUGUACGCUUUAAACGAAUUAGUUGUAUAUUUCUAAUAUCUGAAAUUUUUUGGAUUAAUGGUUAGUACCAAUGAUCCAAAAAAAUAUUAUUAGUCGUAUACUGUACAGCAUAUAUAACUUUGCCCUGUAACAAUUAUGAAUUUUUCUUUCUUCUUUGCGACAAGCAAUGACAUAUUCUUUUUUUUUAAAUUAAAUUAGUUAUUAUUUGCAUAAAGAUCUGUUUCUUUUUUUUCUCCAUAUAUUUUUUAAAAAUUUUCUUCUCUAAAAUAAUUCAAAUUAUUCAAUUUUUGAAUAGUAUUCAAAUUUUGAAUAACUUUAUUACAAGACAUUUAAAACUUCUUUAUUGAAUAACUUUCUAUAUGUAUUUUACAAAACUAAUUUUAUAACUUAAACAAAACUAAAAAAAUUAAAAACUUGAACGUAAAACAAACUAUAGAAAAGGGUUUGGUGGUUGGUACCCGAGGUCUCAAGUUUGAAAUCUAGUUAGUUCACAUUUUUAACUAAGUUUGUUUUUAAAAGAAAUAAACGAAACA